UAGCGACCUCCAGGCGGCAUCUCGCGCAUGCGCCUACGUACGUACUACGUGCGUUUCUUCGGUCUCGUGUAUGGUCAAGAAAUCUGCUCUACGUGUGAUGCAGAAAGGAAGUUGCAUGUGUCGACGAUCGACGGUCUAGUUUCUUUAUUUUGAUUUCGCAUUUUGACUUUGAGCGACCACAUAAAUUUAUGAGCUCCUUAUUACUCUUUAGCUACUACUACCAUGCAUGUAACUUUGAUCAUUGGACCUGCUUAUGACGCGCAUGCAUGUCUAGUCCUGCUUCGCUCUGCUAUCGUAGAGAUGUGGAAUCAAUCAAUAUUAACGACUACUUUCGAUUCAACUGAGCGCUCGCCUCUUUAGUCCACUACUCCUAACACUAACCCCAGUUGAGAAAAGCAAAGUGCCGUGUCCUUCCUGUGUGUGCAAUAAUCAAUAAGUAGUACUAGUACUCUUGCUGUAGCAACUAUCUAGCUUAACACUACUACUUGAUCCUACUUGAUUCGUGCGCCGUGUUCCCUGGCAUGGAAUCCAACAGUAUCCCAAAGGUGGCGUCCUUUGAAUCUACACACGUCGCCGUCUGCCUUUCUUUCCCUUGUGCAGGCAGCCUUUGGCGCCUCUUUCCGGCAGGAAUAAUUCGUCUCUUUAGCUCGGUGCCGGCUGACGCCGAUACGAGCAUCGGCCCGGCUUUGCUGGCAACUAAUUGUCGUACGUCCACGAUCGAUUGUCUUAUCUCUCUGUUAUCAUGGCCGUGCAGGACAAAACUCCUAGUAUAAGCUAGUCGCCUGUAGGCUAUAGUGCUCGCUCGCUGCUCGCCAGUUGUGAUUUCUAAGCCGGGGAUAUGGCCUAAAAGAGCACGUACCGGUGGCAGAAGAAGACGAAGAUCAUCACUACUCCUACUCUUUGUUGGUUGGGCCCGUUGGCGCAGCAGGACGAUCGACGUAAUCGGAAAAGAGAUACGGUGUGCGGCGAGUUGAGAAAAGAGGCGCCUUUUCUGAUCGAUCAUGCAUGAUGUGGUGGAUGGCUUUGCCGAUCUGCAACGGAACGACGAAGGGUGUUGCGUUGCGUACGUCCGUGGAAAAUGGAUGCACACGGCGGGGAUCGGGCACACAUGCAUGCAGCUCGAUCCAGAAGUGUAGAAGGGUCUCGAUCGAUCGGGUGGACGUGACCGCGUGCGUAGGCGCGCGGUGGCGGGUGGGGGCGGUGUCCCGUCGCCGUCGAGCCGUCGUUUUUGGCAUGCACGCAUGGCACAUUUGCGCGACAAAAAGCGGCGCGUUGCGUGAGUGUGCACGCAUGCAUGUGUGCCGGUGCCGGGUUAUUGCAGGGUCUAGCUAGCGACUAGAGCUACGGGUCGUCCCCCUUGGGGUGGCUUAGCUUAGCUACGUGCGCGUUGUUCGUGUGUGCUUGCGCCCUUUGGACUCUGGCCACGCACACACGCACAAACGACGCCUUUUCGUUUUUCACUUUCGUGGUCACUUACUUGGUCAGUGUAGUACCAUGCUUCUGCGCCUUCUUUUCUUGUACAAUGUUAUUACGUAAAGAACCCUUGGGUAAGAGCAUCUAGAGCUAGGCAUCCCAAACCCACCUUAAAAUUUUCGAGCGGACGGCUCGGUCAGUGAUCAAAAAACCGAUCCAGAUAGGCUGCAAACGCUCGGGCUAAUCGGCACCCUCAUAUCCAGCCCAAAUGUAGGAAGGAUAUGGGGAGGCGCCAGUGCGUUCACCACGUCGGACCCGACAGGCCCACUGUACCAUAAUUUGCACCAAAUUCAUCAAACCCCCCGCCCUCCUCCCGCCUCCCUCUACCAUUUCCGAUGUUCGAGCACUCGCCGCCCGCCAUGCUUGCUCCCCAUCCUCGCCACCGAUCCCGAUCUGCCGCCCUAGAUGUCGUCCAGCCCAUCCCCGACCGUCGCAACCGAUGUUGCGCCCAUGUGUCCUCGGCGUCCCGUCCUCGGCGAUGUCAUGCAAGUCGGAGAACAACGCUCGAAGGGACUGGCGACGGAGGCAGCGGGAGAGGAUGCAGACCUCGACGAGCAGCUGUCCCCCCUUCCCACAGCCGCUCCCGGGACUCUGCACCCCAUCCAUCCAGCCGUAAACAAGGAUCGCGUCGUCGGACCAUGUUGGGGCAUUCUGGAGAGCUUUCCACCAACACAGAUGCCACAAUGAAUUGCAUAUGCGGCACAGAGCAAGAGGAAAACAAGUAUUGGGAGAAGAUUUGAAAGGAAUAUCAUGAACAAAAGUAAUAUGUGGAGCCGCAUCAUAUCGUCACCAACCGCAAUGUGGCAUCUCUUCAGUAUCGAUGGGGAUCAUUCAAGGGGAAGUGAACAAGCACGCCAGCUACUAUUCACAAGUGCUUGGCCGCUCAAAGUGAGCAUGAGAGUGCCAACUCACAUAAGCUAAAUUACUUCAUCUUGUCAUCAUUUGCAUACACUUGUUUUUGUUGCAUUCUCAUUUUCAUAUGUAUUUUGUUUACUAGACGGUCAUGGCGGCCACUAUGUAUCAAGAAACAAAGAAGAAGCGGUUUGGUUUUAGCCAUUGUUGGGUGAUACUGAAUGGCAUAUCAAAGUGGACACAACUUGUGGCCGAUCUCAAGGCAGGCAAGAAGAGGAAUGAUGGCUCAAGCUCCCACCAAUCAAUUGGGCUGGACGAAGAAGAGGUAGAUGUUUUAGUGGAGAAUGGAAGAGCCACUGUGCCAAAGGAUAAUCACCAAGUGAUGAGAAACAAGUGGGAGAUGGCAAGGACCUCCCGUGAUGCCGCGGUGUAAGGGCAUAUUUAUCCCUAAGGUGUUUUGGUGACUGAUGACAAUGCUUUUGCGGACUAAUCAUGUGCUUUGAGCUUUUCAGGGAUUCAUCCUUUGGCACGAGACGAUUCUUUCCCCUCGGAGUUUGUUAUUCAAGACGGUGUAGCUCUUUCGUUUCUAGUUUUGUGGUCUUGUCUCGUAGGAGUCUCCGUACUAUCAAGAGGGGGUCCGCUUUGGUAAGGCUUGGGUGGAAUCAUCACGUACACUUCCUUUUCGCACCCUCUGAGCCUUCCCGCGUCGAUGGAGGUCUCUUUUCUUGCGUUUUGAGCAUGCUGUGGUCCAAGCGGUAGUACCGCGGUACCCAAUGUUAGUACCGCUUGUGGGUUCUCAGCCGCAGUACUGCGGUACCCAGCGGUAGUACCGCUUGUGGGUUCACAUCCGCAGUUCUGCUGCGGUACAGGGCUCCUACCGCGUCGACUCGAGGGGGUCGCCUCUCGUGUCGGGUUAUGCGACACUUCACAGCGGCAGUAGAAGCAGUAGUACCGCCCUACCACCGCGGCAGUGCCGCACUAGGCUUGGUUCCGACUCUUUCUUCAAGCUCUCCCAGACUGCACGGUAGUAUCGCGAGGGGGAGCGGUAGUACCGCCCUCUACGGGGCUGUGUUGGGGGUAACGGUUGGAUGGUUUCCCCUUGUAUAAAAGGGGGUCCUCUUCUUCUUCGUUGACUUACCUCUUCCCCCAAAAGCUCCAUUAAUGCUCCAAGCUCCAUUUUUGCCCGAUCUCUCUCCCUAGCCAAUCAAACUUGUUGAUUUGCUCGGGAUUGGUUGAGAAGGCCCCGAUGCACACUUCCACCAAGAGAAAUUUGAUUCCCCCCACUAAUCCCUAGCGGAUCUUGUUACUCUUAGGUGUUUGAGCACCCUAGACGGUUGAGGUCACCACGGAGCCAUAUUCCAUUGUGGUGAAGCUUCGUGGUGUUGUUGGGAGCCUCCGAUUAAGUUGUGGAGAUUGCCCCAACCUUAUUUUUAAAGGUCCGGCCGCCGCCUCCAAGGGCAUCAAUAGUGGAAUCAUCGCACCUCGCAGUGUGUGAGGGCGUGAGGAUAAUACGGUGGCCCUAGUGGCUUCUUGGGGAGCAUUGUGCCUCCACACCGCUCCAACGGAGACGUACUUCCCCUCAAAGCGAAGGAACUUCGGUAACACAUCCUCGUCUUCACCGGCUCCACUCUUGGUUAUCUCGUCCCUUUACUUGUGCAAGCUUUUGUGUUAUUUACCUUGCUUGCUUGUGUGCUUGUUGUUGUUGCAUCAUAUAGGUUGCCCACCUAGUUGCAUAUCUAGAUAACCUACUUUGAUGCAAAGUUUAAAUUGGUAAAGAAAAGCUAAAAAUUGUUAGUUGCCUAUUCACCCCCCUCUAGUCAACUAUGUCGAUCCUUUCAAUUGGUAUCAGAGCCUCGUCUCUUUACUAAGGACUUUACCGUCCGAAGAGUAUGGUUGACACCGUAGACGGUGUGGAGGAGCACUCCGGUGUGAAUCCUAUCUCGUCUAUGGGCGAUGGGGAAACCGCGGUCUCUCGUGAGGAAUUCAAUGUGGCCUUGGAAACAUUGAAAACCUCCAUGACGACCGAUGUUGAAAGCAUGUUUAAUAAAUUCAUAGAAGGGCUUAAACUAUCCACCGCACCUUUGAAAGUGCGUGAUCCCAUUAACAAGGUGACGGAUGCUAACUCCGACAAGGGGAUGCUAUUAGUGAAAAAACUCCUUCAUCUAGUGGUAAGAAUGGCACCGGCACCUUUGCCCAUGUGGAACCUCCACUUGUGUAUGGUGGACCGAUUCCCUCUACUCAUUUGAAUUAUGCCGGUCCUCCCCCUAAGAUUGUGAAAAAUGAGGACUUUGAUUCUUGGGUCUAUUGGUUUAAGCGUCAUUUAAAUCAUGUGAAUACUAAUCUUUGGAGAAUCAUUGAAGAAGGUCUCUAUCCACAUGACCGAAGCAACUUCACUCCAAGAGAAGCCACGGAUAAUCAAUUCAAUGAGAAUGCUCUCUUCAUCAUCCAAGACGCAAUUCCACCCGAAGAUCUUCCUCACCUCCGGCCCUACGCCAUAGCCAAAGAUGCAUGGCACCAAGUUGUUUCUCUCUACCGGGGAAGCGCAAGCAUUCAACGCUCUAACUAUGAAGUGGUGCAAGAUGAAGCCGAUGAGUUUGCUAUGAAGGAAGAUGAAGAACCUCGUGAGCUUUAUCGAAGAGUAACCAAACUCGCGGUUUCACUCCGAGAUCAUGGGAGCAAGGACACAGAUGACAAUUGGAGCAAGCGCAAAUUCCUCAAGGCAAUGAUGCCUUACCAUAAGGCUAUGUCCUCCGUCAUUCGUCAAAGGUCGGACUUCCACACCUUGUCCUCAAGUGAGGUGUUGGAUGAGUUUGUGGCUAUGAGCAUCUUGGACAAGACCGCCGACAAUGCGGUGCUUCGCUCUCAAAGGGCAAAGAAGCCCAACCUUGCAUUGAAGGCCAAGGUUUGUGUUGAAGAAGAAGAAGAGGAGGAAGAAGAGGAAAGCAACCCCGAAGAUACAAAGUAUGCCUAUCAUGAACACAUGGCACUUGCUUCAAGGCAAUUUUGGAGCAAGAAAAACUCAAGGCCAAACUUCAACAAGAACAUCUCAAGUGGCACUAAGAGCAAGCAACAUGUGAAGACUUGCUAUAAUUGUGGCAAUGUGAGCCAUUUUGUUGCGGAGUGCCUGUAUGAGAAGAGGGAAGACAAUGGUGGCAAGCUCAUCCGAAAGGACAAAGCCAAGUCUUUCCCAAACAAGAGCAACUUCACCAAGAAGACCCCUCACAAGGCGUUGGUGGUUCAAGAAGAGUACCAUGAGGAUGAUGAUCAUGAUGAAGAUGAUGAGUCGGUUGCCAUGGCCUCCGUUGCCAUUGCAACAACUCCACGAGUGUCUCUCUUCGACUCACCCAAUGAGAACAUCACCGCCAAGUGCCUCAUGGCUAAAGCCACCGACAAGGUAACCCCCAACAUCAAAACUACCAUCAUUAAUAAUCCUUCCUUGACGGAUUGCAUUGAUGAAUAUGAGGGAUCUAGUGUGGAGGAAAAUGAGUUUGAGUCCUUUAUGGGUAAACUCAAGGGUAAAUCCAAGAAUCAUUUCGUUGCUCUCUUGGAACAACUUGGUGAAGCCAAUGACAUGAUCGAGGCUCACGAAGAUACUAUCUCCAAGAUGGAGGGGCAUAGUCGUGACUAUGCCGAUGAAAUUUCGGAUCUUUCCAAUGCUCUUGAGGAAGAGCGUGGUCUUUGUUUGGCUCUUGAGGAGUCACACAGCGUUGAUCACGCUAAGUUAAAGAAAGAUUUUGAUCAUGCUCUUGUUGUUUCUCGUGUGCUAAACUCCGAGAAGGCCAAGCUUGGGGUUGAUCUUGCUAGACUCAAAGAGGAGUUUGACCUACUUGACAAGGCUCACAAGGUCUUGAAGGGUGCUCAUGCUAGCCUCAAAGAGUCUCAUGAUCAACUUCAAGUAAAGCUAACCUAGGAGAAAGCCACUUUUCCUCGUAUGAUGUUAAUUGAUAAUGCAAAUGCUACUAACCCAUGUUGUGAGCAUGUGCAUCUUGUUGAGGAGAACGCUAAGUUAAAGGUGCAACUUGAGAAAGGUCUUGUGUCUUGCAUACAAGGCGAGAAGAACCUCAAUGACCUUUUGACCAACCAAAAGGGAGUUGUGGCCAAGGAAGGGAUUGGGUACGUGCCCAAGUCCAAGAACAAGAAGAAGAAUGACAAGGCCAAAUGACCUCCUCCUCUCAAGCAAACCUUUGUGAAGGAGGGAGAGGGUGCUACUAAGGAGAAGAAGAAGAACACCGUGAGGGGUAGCGAUGCCAAGAAGGGCAACGCUUCCCUUCCCAACAAAGCCGGCGACUUUAACCCUUCUUAUGUAUUGUGCCGUGCUAGAGAUGGGCAUGUUUAUGCCAAAUUCGUUGGUUCUCCUUAUGAGUACUCCCUCUAUCCAUCUAUACAAGGCCUAAUCCCAAAUUUCAUUUUUCCAUCUAUACAAGGCCAGAUGAGAUACCCAAUGUGUCUCUCUUUUAAUACUCCCUCGCAAGUCGUGAGCCCUCCUUGUGAAAUCGCGCUAAAUGCUACAUUAAAUUGAAUGCAUGCAGAAAAGUGAUGAGAGGAAGUUGCAUGCGAGAGGUUAAUAGAGGCGAAGGUGAGCGGGCUAGGCAUUUAAAGGAAGUUGCAUGCAAGAUUUUACACUGCUCCUCCUUUUGCGCACCAGCCUUGGUACGGGAGAUUCAAAAGUUAGGCCCUGUAAAAAUGGAUGGAGGGAGUACAUUGAAUGGUCUAUUUGGAUUCCUAAGACCCUUGUUACUAACAUCAAAGGACCCAUUACAAAAUGGGUACGUAAAACCAAGCAUUGAUCUCUUGUAGGUGUUUGCUUCCGGUGGGGGUUCCUGGUUGCUCGAUAGUGGAGAUACUAACCAUAUGAUCGGAAGCAAGGACUUGGUGGUGGACGUGCAAAAGAUUCCAUCCAUGCCCACCAACGUCGAGUGGGGUGACGCCUCGUCCUCUAAGGUAUUGGGACUCGGCAAGGUUGUCAUUUCUCAUGAUCUUACGAUCGAGAAGGUCAUGCUUGUUGAGUCCCUUGCAUACAAUUUACUUUCCGUUCGUCAACUAGCACUCAUGGGUUUUGCCACCUUAUUUGAUGUUGAUACCGUGGCCCUCUUGUGGAGCAAGACUCUUAAAGUAGCCUUUGUUGGGCAUGUCGAACACGGUCUCUAUGUGAUCAACUUUUUGGAGCGACUCGCUAAGACCGCGACAUGCCUAAUUGCUAAAGUUGACGUGGGAUGGCUUUGGCACCGUCGUCUUGCCCAUGCCAAUAUGAGAUCUUUGCAAAGUCUUCUCAAGGGGGACCAUGUCCGUGGACUAAUAAAUGUUAGUUUUGCCAAAGAUCGUGCUUGCAGUGCAUGUAUCGAAGGAAAGCUACAUGAAAAGGCUCACCCUCCCACGACUAUCAUUUUCUUGAAGAGGCCUUUGGAGCUCCUUCACAUGGAUCUCUUUGGGCCUCCAUCUUUUGAUAGUCUUGGGGGUAGGAAGUAUUGCUUGUUGAUUAUGGAUGAUUAUUCAAGAUACACUUGGGUAUAUUUCUUCAAGAGGAAGAGUGAGACCCAACAAACCGUCAUCGACUUUGCAAAUGAGGCUCAACGUCAACACAAUGCAAAUAUCUUGACUAUAAGAAGUGACAACGGCACCGAGUUCAAGAACUACACCUUGGAUGAGUUUCUUAGUGAUGAGGGGAUCAAGCAUCAGUAUUACGCACCAUACACCCCUCAACAAAAUGGUGUAGUGGAGAGGAAGAACCGGACGUUGAUGGAUGCGGCAAGGACCAUGAUGGCGGAGUUCAAGUCUCCAUACAACUUUUGGGCCGAAGCCAUCAACACCGAGUGUCAUGCAUCAAAUCGACUCUACCUCUACAAAGGCUUGAACAAGACUCCAUAUGAGAUACUCACCGAGAACAAGCCCAACCUCAAGUACUUCCGGGUGUUCGGGUGUAAGUGUUUCAUUCUCAAGAAAGGUGUUCGUUUGUCUAAAUUUGAGGCUAGAGCUCAUGAGGGCAUAUUUGUUGGUUAUGCUACAAACUCCCAUGCUUACCGUGUCCUCAAUAAGUGUAACAACAUAUCAUAUUUUAUUUACAUUUUGGCUUGAUCCUAGAAAUCCUACGCAACUCAAGGACCCAUGGAGAGAGUUGAGGAUUUCGUUAUUUUCAUAUUUGGGGUUCUCAAAUUUUAAAAAUAGGAUCAUUUGAUUUAAUUAUUUUAUCUUCAAUAAUUCCAAUUAUAAAAAUAAGUGAGAGGGAAUAAAAUGACUUUCCCAAAUUAAAGGAAUAUUGUGGAUUUAAUAAAAAAUCAAAUAAGAUUUUUUAUUUUGGAGUUUUUCGCUGUUUUAUUUGAAUUUAGGAAAAAUACACAUUUUCAAAAUUGCAUUUAGGCCGUGUCGGUGUCAAAACCGGCGGAUCUCGGGUAGGGGGUCCCGAACUGUGCGUUUAGGCCGGAUGGUAACAGGAGGCAGGGGACACGAUGUUUUCCCAGGUUCGGGCCCUCUUGAUGGAGGUAAAACCCUACGUCCUGCUUGAUUGAUAUUGAUGAUAUGGGUAGUACAAGAGUAGAUCUACCACGAGAUCAGAGAGGCUAAACCCUAGAAGCUAGCCUAUGGUAUGAUUGUAUGUUGUGGUUGUAUGUCCUAUGGACUAAAACCCUUCGGUUUAUAUAGACACCGGAGAGGGUUAGGGUUACACAAGGUCGGUUACAAAGGAGGAGAUAUCCAUAUUCGUAUUGCCUAGCUUGCCUUCCAUGCCAAGUAGAGUCCCAUCCGGACACGAGACGAAGUCUUCAAUCUUGUAUCUUCAUAGUCCAACAGUCCGGCCACUGAUAUAAUCCGACUGUCCGGAGACCCCCUAAUCCAAGACUCCCUCAGUAGCCCCUGAACCAGGCUUCAAUGACGAUGAGUCCGGCGCACAAUAUUGUCUUCGGCAUUGCAAGGCGGGCUCCUCUCCAAAUUCCGUGUACCUGUCGAAAUAGUGUCCGGCCUUUUGUGAAUGUUGCACUCCUUGGCUUCCACACCCAAUAAUGGACACUUUCCAUGUGUCGAGCGAAUGUGAAGAGCCAGGGUGUUUUUACAUUUACCCCCUAGCUGUGCGAAUGAGCUGCCUAUUUAAAAGACGGGGAUUCAGAUCCAAAUCACACCAUCCUCCCUUGGCGAGCCUUCAACGGAGCACAUUCGACAGAGAUCCAUUCCAUCAUGGCCGGUCGACGCAGCUCCUCCUCUCGCUCCCCUAGCCCCAAGCCUGGAUAUUAGGAGAGAUGUUCCAUCUCGCACAGCAAAUUAGUGAUGCUUCAGACCAAGGGAAUUCUUCCCCCAACGUACAUGGUCCCAGUUCGAGCCGGGCUUGCCACCUAUAAUGGCGGAGAGCAAGCGGAGAGCCUUCCCAAUCCCUCCAAGGGAGAGCGGGUAUGCCUUGUCCCUUAUUUGGUAAGAGGGCUCGGAUUUCCAAUUCAUCUGUUUCUCCGGGGGCUCCUGGAGUUCUACGGCCUCCAGUUGCAUAACCUUACGCCUACCUCCAUGCUGCAUAUCGUGGGAUUCGUAGCCCUUUGCGAGUUGUUUUUGGGCUAUGAGUCUCAUUUCGCUCUGUGGAGGAAGUUGUUCUGCCUUGUGCCCCGUUCUCAGAAGGGGUCAAUAUAUCAAGUGGGCGGAGCCGAAGUGUGGCGUAUUGCCGGGACCGGAUACCUGUCCGGAACCCCAAAGAAGACGUUCGAAGACUGGCCUUCAGAAUGGUUUUAUAUAGAAGACGCCCCCCUCCCGGAUCCUAUUAGAAUCGUCCUUCCUGAGUUCGACAACACCCCUUUGAAGAGCGCCGGAGCUGGCGUCCAUGGAGCCCCCAGGAAGAAGAUGACAGGGACGUUCUUUACCUGAUGAGUCGGAUAAGUUUUUUAGCUCGAUCCGGAUUGACCAUGAUCGAGGUCAUGGCCAUAUGUAUUAUGCGGGGGGUGCAACCGCUUCAAUAUAGAGGCCACCCCAUGUGGGAUUUCAAUGGGGAGGAUGACGCCACCUGCCACGGUCGCAAAGGGCCGGGAUCGGCUGCUGACCUAAUAAAAAUCUUAUCCACUUUGUACAAGGGAGAAGAGGAGGAAUUCCUUCGUGUCAACCCACAGGGCGGAUUUUCUAUGUACAAUCCUCCGAGCUGGGUAAGCUUUUUCUCGCCCAUUCGUUUCGUAUUCCCGUAGUUAAGUAUUCAGUCUAGCGAUUUCAUCGCAGGAGCUGCGCCAGGCUAUAAAGGAGAUAAACAGCCCUCCUCCAGAACCCGAGGACCCUGGACGGUCCCUUGACCCGGCCUCCCAGGAGGAUCCGGACAUAUCUGUGGAGCUGAUCGAUGGGGUAUUUUACUAAUCGAGUAUUGACAAUGCUUUGGUGGCCAUUACAUCCGAUUACCCUGGGCUACUUCCAGCCUCACAGGUGACUGAGAACGAAGUCCCAGCACUUCGGAAGGGGAUCCGUCCUUGUGCUUUUUUGAUUGCCGUAUAAUAGCCAUGUUUUGCAGGGGAGGUCCUCGAGGCAGAAGGCCGAGCCUACGGCAACUAGCCAACAAGGGGCCGCGAGGCCAGGCAGGCUGAAAAGACCCGCAGUCCGGAUUGAGACACCGGUGCAGCGGUAUGGCGCACCGUCUUUAUUGCAAGACAUUAUUCUCAGAGGCAUACUAACACCCAUGCCUUCUUUUUAGGAGAAAGAGCGCUCGCCGGACUAUACCCGGAGAGGCUACCAAUCGCGCCUCCACCAGCCAGGCUCCAAGGCCGGAUUCGGAGGCGGGAACGAAUACGAGGCGUGCGCCAGGCGCUCCUCCGAUAGAGGAUGCAGAUAAACUGUUCGCCACCAAUUCCGAGGUGGAAAGUGCCAUGAACCACAGGCGUCGCCGGACUGUUCUUCGUGACGCUUGUUUCUCCCAACAGGCAUUGGAUGCCUUCAACUCGGGAGACGCGUACCUCCGUGCCGCUCAAAAUGGUCUAGCCAGAGCCACGGAGCAGUAUGUAAAAGACAUACAGGUGAGAAAAUUUGGUGAUUAUAUAUAUCAGUAGCCCCUGAUACUUGAAACAGUUAGGAUAACUGAUUUAAGGAUCAUUUGUUAUGCAGGUUCUUACAGAAAAGAAUACUCAACUGUCCCAGGAGCUGGAAGAGUGCAAAGCCCAACUUCAGGCCUCACUGGCCGUAGCAGGGGAGCCCAAAGAGACCCCCUCUGGUAACAUAUCCUUUGAAUGAUAAGUAUCAUAUUAGAAGGCGGCGUAUAUGCAGAUUUGACGAUAAAAUUGCAGAUGACACUGGAUUAAAUCCGGAUAAGCAACAGCUCAUACGCCAGCUGAAGGCCGGUGAGAGCGUGCUUACGAGGGUGAGGCAGGAGAAGAAUGAUCUCCUAGAUGCCAACACCAAGCUGGGCGUGGAAAUAAAAGAUGUUCGUGCCCAACUGUCGGACUCUGUUAAGGAGAAUCGGCGGCUUCGACGCGACAUAUUUAGUAAGUGCUUGAACGAACUUUGAAAAAGAGUUCGGCGAGGAAGCUGGCUGACAGAGUUAUGUCUGUAGGUAUGCUAACAGGUUGUCCUGCCGAGGAGAUGCCCGGUUCAACGGGUGAUCUUCUUCCCGAGCUCUCACAGCUGCACGAACAAGUUCGACAGGUGAUGCAAGACGUUGCCCAGGCCUUGUGGCCGUCUCCAUACCCGAAGGCCUUGGAGAGCUUGCAGAAAAGCUGAAGGGAGCACGGCGGCGCUUCCGAUUAUGGAAGAUAUCAGCGUGCCGUCAGGGCGCCAGGGAAGCCUGGGCAAUGGUGAAGACACAGUACACGAAGGCUGACCCGAGCCACAUGGCCAAAGUCGGACCUGUGGGACCUGAUGGGAAGGAGAUCCCUGUGAGCUUAGUGUACAACCAAGUAGAAUUGGCCGCAAAGUAUUCCCAACAGGAUUGUAGACUAGACAGCCUAUUGGAUGGUAUUGAAGAGGAAUUCAACCGGUCAAAUUGACUAUGUAAUUUUAAAGUGACAUGUAUAAUGCCUUCUAGCCGGAUUGUAGAUCGUUUGUCGUGGCGGACCUUUUCGCUUCAACCUCGGGACCCAACGGUCCGGAGUGUAUCCGAAUACCCUCUUGGUUAUGUAAGAACCGGGGCAUGCGUGGAGACCAGGCGUAGGGGUCAUUAGUGCUUUAUCAGACAAGUGCCCAACUAGUUAUGUUAUAUUACAUGGGUAGUAAGAAACAUCUUCCAGGGAGAAUAGUUCCAUUACGGGUUCCUUUCCCUAGGUAAGCAUGCCCUAAAGUGCAUGUCCGGACUGCGAUAAGAAGCGCAGAAAAAGCAUCUGGGGGCAGAUAUGGAUAAUAAAUAAAAGUCAUCUUUUGUUCACUGACCGAAUAUUCCCUUAAGAACGCUGGCUUUCGGCUUCACCCAGUCUGAGGUACGCGUCCGGCUGACCCGGCGGUAACAAUCGCAGAGGUGCUCCCCUUAUGCCCUAGCCGAAUUAACGGAAACGUAGGGCAUAAAUACAAGAGCCAGGCAACCCAGCUUGGCCAAAACUUAAGUCAUAUCGAUGCAUAUAAUGGUGAAAAAAGGUACAUGCGGAAGUAUAACACAUGUGUUGGGCGUGAGGCCCAGGUAAAUAAUUUAAGCUUCUGUGAAAGAAGCCCUCAGGUAUGAAGAGUGCGGCUAGCGCAUCUGUAAUGUACGAGUGAGGCACAAGGUGACCCUUGAAGGCCUAGAGAAAUAAAAGAAAGAAAGGGAAACAAGACAGAUGAUGCAUGUGCAGAAAAUGGACAAAGGGAGGGGACUAACAUAGAGUCCGGUGCUAAGCGUAGAAUCUUCGAAGCCUGGCUGUGUUCCAUGGGUUCGGCUCGAGUCGACUAGUCGAUGCAUCCCGCAGUCGGUACGCUCCACCGGUCAGAACUUGGUCGAUAAUGAAGGGACCUUCCCAUUUGGGCUCGAGCUUGUUCUUUUUCUUAUCCGGCAGUCGUAGAACUAGUUCGCCAAUGUUAUAAGUUUUGGCCCGUACUUCUCUGCUUUGGUAUCUGUGAGCCUGUUGCUGGUAAAAUGCGGAACGGGCUUUGGCUACAUCGCGCUCCUCCUCCAAGGUGUCCAGACCGUACUGCCGAUCGAGCUUGGCUUCUCUUUCUUCGUACAUGCGCACUCGAGGUGAGUCAUGAAUUAUGCCACAGGGCAGGACUGCCUCUGCGCCGUACACCAUAAAAAAUGGUGUAUAUCCGUUACGACGAUUCGGCGUGGUCCGCAGCCCCUAGAGUACGGAGUCGAGCUCCUCUACCCAGUGCGUGCCAGACUCCAUUAAGGAGCGCACUAAUCUGGGUUUAAAUGCCGCUCAUUAUAAGACCAUUUGCUCGUUCGACUUGUCCGUUGGUUUGUGGGUGAUAGACUGAAGCAUAAUUGAGCUUGAUGCCCAUUUUGCUGCACCAGAGUUUUACCUCGUCGGCCGUGAAGUUCGUGCCAUUAUCAGUGAUGAUGCUGUGGGGGACGCCAUAAUGGUGUACAACCCCGGAUAUGAAAUCUAUCACCGGUCCGGAUUUGACUGUUUUAACCGGUUUAGCCUCUAUCCAUUUGGUGAAUUUAUCCACCAUGACCAAUAAGUAUUUUUUCUUGUGGGUUCCCCCUUUAAGGGGUCCAACCAUGUCAAGCCCCCAGACCGCGAAGGGCCAUGUAAUGGGGAUUGUUUGGAGGGCGGUGGGUGGCAUGUGGCUUUGAUUUGCAAAGAGUUGGCAACCGGCGCAACGUUGGACCAAGUCCUGUGCAUCUGCCCGGGCCGUUGGCCAAUAGAAUCCUGUACGGAAGGCCUUGCUUACAAGGGCCCGGGCUGGGACGUGAUGACCGCUGAGUCCGGCAUGAAUUUCUCCCAAAAGGUUCCGCCCUUCCUCUUCGGAGAUGCACCUUUGAAGGACUCCGAUAGCACUUUUUUUAUACAAUUCUCCCACAUGGACCCUGUAGGCCUUGGAUCGCCGCACUAUGCAGCGUGCCUCAUUUUGGUCCUCCGGAAGUUCUUGUCUAGUUAGGUAGGCCAGGAAUGGUUCUGGCCACGGGGCAAUACUGGCGAUUAUUUCGUGGGCUGAAUGUGUUAUUUCGGUGGCGGGGCCUCCGAUUGUGUCAGCGAGUUCGGUAUCGAGUAUUUUGGCCGGGUCCGGACUGUUGUUACCGGUGUCCCCUUCCCGUGCUACGGAUGGCUUGAAGAGCCUUUCCAGGAAUAUGUUGGGAGGGACCGCGUCACAUUUUGCACCGAUGCGGGCGAGGAUAUCCACCGCCUGAUUGUUUUCCCGAGCCACAUGGUGAAAUUCGAGCCCCUCGAACCGAGCUGACAUUUUUAGGACGGCAUUGCGAUAAGCUGCCAUUUUCGGAUCCUUGGCAUCAAAGUCUCCAUUUAUUUGGGAUAUCGCGAGGUUCGAAUCCCCGCGCACCUCUAGGCGUUGAAUGUCCAUGGAUACUGCCAUCCGGAGACCAUGUAGAAGGGCCUCAUAUUCGGCUGCGUUGUUGGAGUUAGUAUACAUUAUCUGUAGUACGUACUAAACUGAAUCUCCUGUUGGGGACGUCAAAACGACGCCAGCCCCCAGACCAGCCAACAUUUUGGAGCCGUCGAAGUGCAUGAUCCAGUUUGAAUAUGUGCCGUACUCCUUAGGGAGUUCGGCUUCCGUCCACUCGGCGACGAAGUCAGCCAAAACUUGCGAUUUAAUAGCUCGCCAUGGCUUGUAAGUUAUGUCAAACGGGAGGAGCUCAAUGGCCCAUUUGGCAAUCCGGCCCGUCGCGUCGCGGUUUUUUAUAAUAUCGUUAAGUGCUACUUCUGAGGCUACCGUUAUCGAACACUCUUGAAAGUAGUGUCGCAGCUUCCGGGAUGCCAUAAAUACUGCGUACGUUAUCUUUUGAUAAUGUGGGUACCGUGAUUUGCAUGGGGUAAGGACAGUGGACACAUAGUAAACCGGCUUUUGAAGGGGGAAUUUGUGUCCGUCUGCUUCUCGUUCGUUGACGAGCACUGCGCUUACUAUUUGAUGAGUUGCCGCAAUGUAUAAUAGCAUUGGUUUGCUAAUGUUUGGCGCGGCCAGGACUGGUUUUGUUGCCAGUAUGGCUUUUAUUUCAUUGAGUCCGGCCGUGGCGGCAUCCGUCCACUCGAAGCGUUCGGUGCGCCGGAGGAGGCGAUAAAGGGGUAAUGCCUUUUCUCCCAAGCGGAAGAUAAAGCGGCUUAGAGCCGCCACACAUCCAGUCAAUUUUUGUAUUUGUUUUAGGUCUGUUGGGGUAGCCAACUAUGACAACGCUCGGAUUUUGGCCGGAUUAGCUUCAAUACCUCUACUGGAGACAAUGAAUCCUAGGAGCUUUCCGAUUGGUACGCCGAAAACGCAUUUUUCCGGAUUGAGCUUGAUGUCAUAUGUUCGGAGGUUAUCAAAUGUGAGCCUCAAGUCGUCUACUAGAGUUUCGACGUGCUUGGUUUUAAUGACCACGUCAUCUACGUAUGCCUCCACUAUUUUGCCGAUCUGGUUUGCCAGACAUGUCUAAAUCAUGCGCUGAUAUGUUGCGCCGGUGUUUUUGAGCCCGAAGGGCAUUGUGUUGAAGCAGAAUGGGCCGUAUGGUGUGAUGAAUGCCGCUGCGGCUUGGUCUGGCUCUGCCAUUUUAAUUUGAUGGUAGCCGGAGUAUGCGUCGAGGAAACACAAUGAAUCGUGUCCUGCGGUGGCGUCGAUGAUUUGAUCAAUGCGGGGGAGGGGGAAAGGAUCCUUUGGGCAGGCCUUGUUAAGGUCCUUAAAAUCGACACACAAGCGCCAGGAUUUGUCCUUCUUCGGUACCAUCACCAGGUUUGCUAGCCAGUCCGGAUGUUUUAUGUCUCUGAUGAAUCCGGCCUCCAAUAGCUUGGCUAGUUCCUCUCCCAUGGCUUGUCUCUUAGGUUUGGAGGAACGCCGAAGAGCCUGCUUGACUGGCUUGAAUCCUUUUAGGAUAUUUAGGCUGUGCUCGGCCAGCCUACAUGGGAUUCCUGGCAUGUCUGAAGGGUGCCAGGCAAAAAUGUCCCAGUUCUCGCGUAGGAACUCUCGCAGUGCGGCAUCGACAUCAGGGUUUAAUUGUGCCCCGACGAAAGCUGUUUUGUAGGGUCCGUUGGAUGGACUUGGAAUUUGACUAUCUCAUCCGCUGGUUUAAAGGAGGUGGACUUGGAUCUUUUAUCGAGUAUCACAUCGUCCCUGUUCACCGUGGAGCACAGCGCAAUUAGUUCCUCGGCCACUAGGGCUUCGGAUAGUGCCUCAAGGGCCAGUGCGGCUGUCUUAUUUUCGGCGCGGAGUGCUAUGUCCGGAUCACUAGCAAGAGUGAUGAUUCCGUUGGGCGGGGGCAUUUUGAGCUUCAUGUACCCGUAAUGGGGUAUGGCUUGGAAGAUUGUAAACGCCUCCCGCCCUAAUAGAGCAUGGUAUCCGCUGCUGAACGGGGCCACUUGGAAUGUAAUUUCUUCGGACCUGUAAUUAUCCGGAGUGCCGAAUACCACAUCUAGUGUGAUUUUCCCAGCACACCGUGCUUCCCAACUGGGGAUGAUUCCUCUAAAGGUUGUACUACUUUGCUCAAUGCGGCUCCAGUCUAUUUCCAUCUUUUGAAGAGUUUCCUCAUAGAUGAGGUUUAAUCCGCUGCCGCCGUCCAUGAGUACCUUGGUGAGUCGAAAGCCGUCCAUGAUUGGACUGAGGACCAGUGCGGCUGGUGCUCAGGCUGUUCGGAAUUUGGGUUCGUCACUGGCAUUGAAGGUAAUAGCCGUGUCACUCCAAGGAUUUAUUUCUACUACGUGGCAGAUUUCGGCUAUGCUGCAGAGUGUUCGCUUGCGUCUAUUAUUUGACGUGAAGGUCUCAAAGACCGUUAACACCGUAUUGUUGUCCACGGGAUGGUGCUCUGUGGUAUUUGGGAAGAGUAGAUCCUCACCACUUUUGGCCACCUGCCGGAGUAUCCAACAUGCUCUAAGGCUGUGCGUUGGUAUUGCAUCUGCUGUACUAUGAAUUUUGCAGGGUCCGUUGAGCCAUCCCUCCAGUACGAUUCCUUGCCCCGUAGAGGGAUUUUGAUUUUUGGUAGUUAACCCAGGUGUAUUGUGAUAAUGCACCCUUUUAUUUCGAACUGGGUUUGUAUUCAGGGCCGGAUUAUCCCAAAAUUUUAUUUCGGUUUUCCAGGCGCUUUCCAUCGCACAGUACUUUCGUACUAUGGACACCAAGUCGGCAAAGCGUGUAAUUUCACGGCGACUUAUGGCGUUGAGGAUUCCCUUGUCCGUGCAAUUAUUGCAGAAGAAUGAAAUUGCGUCUUCCUCGCGGCAGUCCUUUAUCCUGUUCAUGACCAGGAGGAAUCUGGCCCAGUAAUGGUGUACUGUUUCUUCGGGCUCUUGCCUAAUUUGGGAUAGAUUGCUUAUGUUUGGGUGGGUCGGUGGAAUUGAGCCCCAAUCCUCACCCAAUCUAAGACUCAGGGGCCAAGGAGUUUCCGAACUUGGAAGUUUGGAUUCUUGGAUGUUUUCCGAUAAAUCUAGCCCACUGCCUGACUCUAGGUUCACGCCUUGAGUGACGUCCUCCCCUCUGCGGGUAUCUGUCUUGGAGGGAUCGGGAAUCCGGACAUAGCUAGUCCUUAAGAUAGAUGAAGGGUUGCCGCAUUGUUCCUCCACCACUGCAAUGUGAUGGGUGACCUGCGGAGAGUAGAUCUCUCUCAGAUCGGGUUUAGGCCCAAUCUAAUCGUAGUCUGUAGCGACUCCCAGGGCGACGAUGCGAUCCAGGAGCUCGUUCAGGGAAGAGAGCUCCAUUGAAUCUAACUGGUCAGCAAGUUCCGAGUUGACGUGAAGAUUGCUUUCGAUGACCCGAGAAGUCAUCGUCGGCACAGCGGCCGAACAGGCGGUCAUAAGAAAACCACCUAGCCGGAGAGUUUGGCCGAUAGCCAAAGCUCCUUCAGCAACAGUGCCGUCUUUAAAGACGGGAUGAGACAUCCUUCCUGGAGGCGACGGCAUAGCGGAACUCUCCAUGAAAGCACCAAUGUCGGUGACAAAACCGGCGGAUCUCGGGUAGGGGGUCCCGAACUGUGCGUCUUGUUGGGGAACGUAGUAAUUUCAAAAAAUUUCCUACACACACGCAAGAUCAUGGUGAUGCAUAGAAACGAGAGGGGAUAGUGUGAUCUACGUACCCUUGUAGACCAACAGCGGAAGCGUUAGCACAACGCGGUUGAUGUAGUCGUACGUCUUCACGGCCCGACCGAUCAAGCACCGAAACUACGGCACCUUCGAGUUUUAGCACACGUUCAGCUCGAUGACGAUCCCCGAACUCCGAUCCAGCAAAGUGUCGGGGAAGAGUUCCAUCAGCACGACGGCGUGGUGACGAUCUUGAUGUUCUACCGUCACAGGGCUUCGCCUAAGCACCUCUACAAUAUUAUCGAGGAUUAUGGUGGAAGGGGGCACCGCACACGGCUAAGAAAACGAUCACGUGGAUCAACUUGUGUGUCUAGGGGUGCCCCCUGCCCCCGUAUAUAAAGGAGCAAGGGGAGGAGGCCGGCCGGCCCUAUUGGCGCGCCAAGGAGGAGUCCUCCUCCUAGUAGGAGUAGGACUCCUACUAGGAGGGGGAAAGGAAGUGGGGAGGGAGAAGGAAAGGGGGGCGCCGCCCCCCCUCUCCUAGUCCAAUUCGGACCAAGGGGGGAGGAGGCGCGCGGCCCACCCUGGCUGCCCUUCUCUCUCUCCACUAAGGCCCAUNNNNNNNNNNNNNNNNNNNNNNNNNNNNNNNNNNNNNNNNNNNNNNNNNNNNNNNNNNNNNNNNNNNNNNNNNNNNNNNNNNNNNNNNNNNNNNNNNNNNNNNNNNNNNNNNNNNNNNNNNNNNNNNNNNNNNNNNNNNNNNNNNNNNNNNNNNNNNNNNNNNNNNNNNNNNNNNNNNNNNNNNNNNNNNNNNNNNNNNNNNNNNNNNNNNNNNNNNNNNNNNNNNNNNNNNNNNNNNNNNNNNNNNNNNNNNNNNNNNNNNNNNNNNNNNNNNNNNNNNNNNNNNNNNNNNNNNNNNNNNNNNNNNGGCACUCCGGUUUUCUCCGAAAUCACCCGGAACACUUCCGGUGUCCGAAUAUAGCCGUCCAAUAUAUCAAUAUUUAUGUCUCGACCAUUUCGAGACUCCUCGUUAUGUCCGUGAUCACAUCCGGGACUCCGAACUAACUUCGGUACAUCAAAACUCAUAAACUCAUAAUAUAACUGUCAUCAAAACCUUAAGCGUGCGGACCCUACUGGUUCGAGAACAAUGUAGACAUGACCGAGACAUGUCUCCGGUCAAUAACCAAUAGCGGAACAUGGAUGUUCAUAUUGGCUCCCACAUAUUCUACGAAGAUCUUUAUUGGUCAGACCGCAUAACAACAUACGUUGUUCCCUUUGUCAUCGGUAUGUUACUUGCCCGAGAUUCGAUCAUCGGUAUCUCAAUACCUAGUUCAAUCUCGUUACCAGCAAGUCUCUUUACUCGUUAUGUAAUACAUCAUCUCGCAACUAAGUCAUUAGUUGCAAUGCUUGCAAGGCUUAUGUGAUGUGCACUACCGAGAGGGCCCAGAGAUACCUCUCCGACAAUCGGAGUGACAAAUCCUAAUCUCGAAAUACGCCAACCCAACAUUUACCUUUGGAGACACCUGUAGAGCUCCUUUAUAAUCACCCAGUUAUGUUGUGACGUAUGGUAGCACACAAAGUGUUCCUCCGGCAAACGGGAGUUGCAUAAUCUCAUAGUCAUAGGAACAUGUAUAAGUCAUGAAGAAAGCAAUAGCAACAUACUAAACGAUCGUGUGCUAAGCUAAUGGAAUGGGUCAUAUCAAUCACAUCAUUCUCCUAAUAAUGUGAUCCCGUUAAUCAAAUGACAACACAUGUCUAUGGUUAGGAAACAUAACCAUCUUUGAUUAACGAGCUAGUCAAGUAGAGGCAUACUAGUGACGUUUAGUUUGUCUAUGUAUUCACACAAGUAUUAUGUUUCCAGAUAAUACAAUUCUAGCAUGAAUAAUAAACAUCUAUCAUGAUAUAAGGAAAUAAAAUAAUAACAUUAUUAUUGCCUCUAGGGCAUAUUUCCUUCAGUCUCCCACUUGCACUAGAGUCAAUAGUCUAGAUUAUGCAGUAAUGAUUCUAACACCCAUGGAGCUUUGGUGCUGAUCAUGUUUUGCUCGUGGAAGAGGCUUAGUCAACGGGUCUGCAACAUUCAGAUCCGUAUGUAUCUUGCAAAUCUCUAUGUCUCCCACCUGGACUAGAUCCCAGAUGGAAUUGAAGCGUCUCUUGAUGUGCUUGGUUCUCUUGUGAAAUCUGGAUUCCUUUGCCAAGGCAAUUGCACCAGUAUUGUCACAAAAGAUUUUCAUUGGACCCGAUGCACUAGGUAUGACACCUAGAUCGGAUAUGAACUCCUUCAUCCAGACUCCUUAGUUUGCUGCUUCCGAAGCAGCUAUGUACUCCGCUUCACAUGUAGAUCCCGCCGCAAUGCUUUGUUUAGAACUACACCAACUGACAGCUCCACCGUUUAAUGUAAACACAUAUCCGGUUUGCGAUUUAGAAUCGUCCGGAUCAGUGUCAAAGCUUGCAUCAACGUAACCAUUUACGAUGAGCUCUUUGUCACCUCCAUAUAUGAGAAACAUAUCCUUAGUCCUUUUCAGGUAUUUCAGGAUGUUCUUGACCACUGUCUAGUGAUCCACUCCUGGAUUACUUUGGUACCUCCCUGCUAGACUUAUAGCAAGACACACAUCAGGUCUGGUACACAUCAUUGCACACAUGAUAGAUCCUAUGGCUGAAGCAUAGGGAACAUCUUUCAUUUUCUAUCUAUCUUUUGCAUUGGUCGGGCAUUGAGUCUUACUCAAUUUCACACCUUGUAACACAGGCAAGAAUCCUUUCUUUGCUUGAUCCAUUUUGAACUUCUUCAAAAUUUUGUCAAGGUAUGUGCUUUGUGAAAGUCCAAAUAAGCGUCUUGAUCUAUCUCUAUAGAUCUUAAUGCCCAAUAUGUAAGCAGCUUCACCAAGAUCUUUCAUUGAAAAACUCUUAUUCAAGUAUCCCUUUAUGCUAUCCAGAAAUUCUAUAUCAUUUCCGAUUAGUAAUAUGUCAUCUACAUAUAAUAUCAGAAAUGCUACAGAGCUCCCACUCACUUUCUUGUAGAUACAGGCUUCUCCAAAAGUCUGUACAAAACCAAAUGCUUUGAUCACACUAUCAAAGCGUUUAUUCCAUCCCCGAGAAGCUUGCACCAGUCCAUAAAUGGAUCGCUGGAGCUUGCACAAUUUGUUAGCUCCCUUUGGAUCGACAAAACCUUCCGGUUGCAUCAUAUACAACUCUUCUUCCAGAAAUCCAUUUAGGAAUGCAGUUUUGACAUCCAUCUGCCAAAUUUCAUAAUCAUAAAAUGCGGCAAUUGCUAACAUGAUUCGGACAGACUUAAGCAUCGCUACGGGUGAGAAGGUCUCAUCAUAGUCAAUCCCUUGAACUUGUCGAAAACCUUUUGCGACAAGUUGAGCUUUGUAGAUAGUAACAUUACCGUCAGCGUCAGUCUUCUUCUUGAAGAUCCAUUUAUUCUCAAUUGCUUGCCGAUCAUUGGGCAAGUCAACCAAAGUCCAUACUUUGUUCUCAUACAUGGAUCCCAUCUCAUAUUUCAUGGCUUCAAGCCAUUUUGCGGAAUCUGGGCUCACCAUCGCUUCUCCAUAGUUCGUAGGUUCAUCAUGAUCUAGUAGCAUGACUUCCAGAACAGGAUUACCGUACCACUCUGGUGCGGAUCUUACUCUGGUUGAUCUACGAGGUUCAGUAGUAUCUUGUUCUAAAGUUUCAUGAUCAUCAUCAUUAGCUUCCUCACUAAUUGGUGUAGGUGUCAUAGAAACUGAUUUCUGUGAUGUACUACUUUCCAAUAAGGGAGCAGGUAUAGUUACCUCAUCAAGUUCUACUUUCCUCCCACUCACUUCUUUCGAGAGAAACUCCUUCUCUAGAAAGUUUCCGAAUUUAGCAACAAAAGUCUUGCCUUCGGAUCUAUGAUAGAAGGUGUAUCCAAUAGUUUCCUUUGGAUAUCCUUUGAAGACACAUUUCUCCGAUUUGGAUUCGAGCUUAUCAGGUUGAAGCUUUUUCACAUAAGCAUCGCAGCCCCAAACUUUCAGAAACGACAACUUUGGUUUCUUGCCAAACCACAGUUCAUAAGGCGUUGUCUCAACAGAUUUUGAUGGUGCCCUAUUUAACGUGAAUGCGGCCGUCUCUAGAGCAUAACCCUAAAACGAUAGCGGUAAAUCAAGAAGAGACAUCAUAGAUCGCACCAUAUCUAGUAAAGUACGAUUACGACGUUCGGACACACCAUUACGCUGUGGUGUUCCGGGUGGCGUGAGUUGCGAAACUAUUCCGCAUUGUUUCAAAUGUACACCAAACUCGUAACUCAAAUAUUCUCCUCCACGAUCAGAUCGUAGGAAUUUUAUUUUCUUGUUAUGAUGAUUUUCAACUUCACUCUGAAAUUCUUUGAACUUUUCAAAUGUUUCAGACUUAUGUUUCAUUAAGUAGAUAUACCCAUAUCUGCUUAAGUCAUCUGUGAAGGUGAGAAAAUAACGAUAUCCGCCACGAUCCUCAACAUUCAUCAGACCACAUACAUCUAUAUGUAUGAUUUCCAACAAAUCUGUUGCUCUCUCCAUAGUACCGGAGAACGGUGUUUUUGUCAUCUUACCCAUAAGGCACAGUUCGCAAGUACCAAGCGAUUCAUAAUCAAGUGGUUCCAAAAGUCCAUCAGUAUGGAGUUUCUUCAUGCGCUUUACACCGAUAUGACCCAAACGGUAGUGCCACAAAUAAGUUGCACUAUCAUUAUCAACUCUGCAUCUUUUGGUUUCAACAUUAUGAAUAUGUGUGUCACUACUAUCGAGAUUUAAUAAGAAUAGACCACUCUUUAAGGGUGCAUGACCAUAAAAGAUAUUACUCAUAUAAAUAGAACAACCAUUAUUCUCUGAUUUAAAUGAAUAACCGUCUCGCAUCAAACAAGAUCCAGAUAUAAUGUUCAUGCUUAAUGCUGGCACAAAAUAACAAUUAUUUAGGUCUAAUACUAAUCCCGAAGGUAGAUGUAGAGGUAGCGUGCCGACCGCAAUCACAUCGACUUUGGAACCAUUUCCCACGCGCAUCGUCACCUCGUCCUUAGCCAAUCUUCGCUUAAUCCGUAGUCCCUGUUUCGAGUUGCAAAUGUUAGCAACAAAACCAGUAUCAAAUAACCAGGUGCUACUGCGAGCAUUAGUAAGGUACACAUCAAUAACAUGUAUAUCACAUAUACCUUUGUUCACCUUGCCAUCCUUCUUAUCCGCCAAAUACUUGGGGCAGUUCCGCUUCCAGUGACCAGUCUGCUUGCAAUAGAAGCACUCAGUUUCAGGUUUAGGUCCAGGUUUGGGUUUCUUCUCUUGAGUAGCAACUUGCUUGCUGUUCUUUUUGAAGUUCCCCUUCUUCUUCCCUUUGCCCUUUUUCUUGAAACUAGUGGUCUUGUUGACCAUCAACACUUGAUGCUCCUUCUUGAUUUCUACCUCCGCAGCUUUCAGCAUUGCAAAGAGCUCGGGAAUAGUCUUAUUCAUCCCUUGCAUAUUAUAGUUCAUCACAAAGCUCUUGUAGCUUGGUGGCAGUGAUUGGAGAAUUCUCUCAAUGACGCAAUCAUCUGGAAGAUUAACUCCCAAUUGAACCAAGUGAUUAUUAUACCCAGACAUUUUGAGUAUAUGCUCACUGACAGAACUGUUCUCCUCCAUCUUGCAGCUAUAGAACUUAUUGGAGACUUCAUAUCUCUCAAUUCGGGCAUUUGCUUGAAAUAUUAGCUUCAACUCCUGGAACAUCUCAUAUGCUCCAUGACGUUCAAAACGUCGUUGAAGUCCCGAUUCUAAGCCGUAAAGCAUGGCACACUGAACUAUCGUUUAGUCAUCAACUUUGCUCUGCCAGACGUUCAUAACAUCUGGUGUUGCUCCAGCAGCAGGCCUGGCGUGCUUCCAAGAUGUAAUUCUUCUAUGCAACAAUGAGGAUAAUCCUCAAGUUACGGACCCAGUCCGUGUAAUUGCUACCAUCAUCUUUCAACUUUGCUUUCUCAAGGAACGCAUUAAAAUUCAAUGGAACAACAGCACGGGCCAUCUAUCUACAAUCAAACAUAAACAAGCAAGAUACUAUCAGGUACUAAGUUCAUGAUAAAUUUAGGUUCAAUUAAUCAUAUUACUAAAGAACUCCCACUUAGAUAGACAUCCCUCUAAUCCUCUAAGUGAUUACAUGAUCCAAAUCAACUAAACCAUGUCCGAUCAUCACAUGAGAUGGAGUAGUUUCAUUGGUGAACAUCACUAUGUUGAUCAUAUCUACUAUAUGAUUCACGCUCAACCUUUCGGUCUCCGUGUUCCGAGGCCAUAUCUGUAUAUGCUUGGCUCGUCAAGUAUAACCUGAGUAUUCCGCGUGUGCAACUGUUUUGCACCCGUUGUAUUUGAACGUAGAGCCUAUCACACCCGAUCAUCACAUGGUGUCUCAGCACGAAGAACUUUCGCAACGGUGCAUACUCAGGGAGAACAGAGAUCAUCUUAAAAUGCUACCGUCAAACAAAGCAAGAUAAGAUGCAUAAAAGAUAAACAUCACAUCCAAUCAAUAUAAGUGAUAUGAUAUGGCCAUCAUCAUCUUGUGCUUGUGAUCUCCAUCUUCGAAGCACCUUCAUGCUCACCAUCGUCACCGGCGCGACACCUUGAUCACCAUCGUAGCAUCGUUGUCGUCUCGCCAAUCUUCUGCUUCCACGACUAUCGCUACCGCUUAGUGAUAAAGUAAAGCAUUACAGCGCAAUUGCAUUGCAUACAAUAAAGCGACAACCAUAUGGCUCCUGCCAGUUGCCGAUAACUUGGUUACAAAACAUGAUCAUCUCAUACAAUAAAAUUUAGCAUCAUGUCUUGACCAUAUCACAUCACAACAUGCCCUGCAAAAACAAGUUAGACGUCCUCUACUUUGUUGUUGCAAGUUUUAUGUGGCUGCUACGGGCUUAAGUAAGAACCAAUCUUACCUACGCAUCAAAACCACAACGAUAGUUUGUCAAGUUGGUGCUGUUUUAACCUUCGCAAGGACCGGGUGUAGCCAUACUCGGUUCAACUAAAGUUGGAGAAACUGACACCCGCUAGCCACCAUUGUGUAAAGCACGUCGGGAGAACCGGUCUCGCGUAAGCGUACGCGUAAUGUCGGUCCGGGCCGCUUCGUCCAACAAUACAGCCGAACCAAAGUAUGACAUGCUGGUAAGCAGUAUGACUUAUAUCGCCCACAACUCACUUGUGUUCUACUCGUGCAUAUAACAUCAACACAUAAAACCUGGCUCUGAUACCACUGUUGGGGAACGUAGUAAUUUCAAAAAAUUUCCUACGCACACGCAAGAUCAUGGUGAUGCAUAGCAACGAGAGGGGAGAGUGUGAUCUACGUACCCUUGUAGACCGACAGCGAAAGCGUUAGCACAACGCGGUUGAUGUAGUCGUAUGUCUUCACGGCCCGACCAAUCAAGCACCGAAAUUAUGGCACCUCCGAGUUUUAGCACACGUUCAGCUCGAUGACGAUCCCCGGACUCCGAUCCAGCCAAGUGUCAGGGAAGAGUUCCGUCAGCACGACAGCGUGGUGAUGAUCUUGAUGUUCUACUGUCGCAGGGCUUCGCCUAAGCACCGCUACAAUAUUAUCGAGGAUUAUGGUGGAAGGGGGCACCACACACGGCUAAGAAAACGAUCACGUGGAUCAACUUGUGUGUCUAGGGGUGCCCCCUGCCCCCGUAUAUAAAGGAGCAAGGGGAGGAGGCCGGCUGGCCCUAUUGGCGCGCCAAGGAGGAGUCCUCCUCCUAGUAGGAGUAGGACUCCACUAGGAGGGGGAAAGGAAGUGGGGAGGGAGAAGGAAAGGGGGUGCUGCCCCCCCUCUCCUAGUCCAAUUCGGACCAAGGGGGGAGGAGGCGCGUGGCCCACCCGGGCUGCCCUUCUCUCUCUCCACUAAGGCCCAUAUGGCCCAUUACUUCUCCCGGGGGGUUCCGGUAACCCUGCGACACUCCGGUUUUCUCCGAAAUCACCCGGAACACUUCUGGUGUCCGAAUAUAGCCGUCCAAUAUAUCAAUCUUUAUGUCUCGACCAUUUCGAGACUCCUCGUUAUGUCCGUGAUCACAUCCGAGACUCCGAACUAACUUCGGUACAUCAAAACUCAUAAACUCAUAAUAUAACUAUCAUUGAAACCUUAAGCGUGCGGACCCUACGGGUUCGAGAACAAUGUAGACAUGACCGAGACAUGUCUCCGGUCAAUAACCAAUAGCGGAACCUGGAUGUUCAUAUUGGCUCCCACAUAUUCUACGAAGAUCUUUAUCGGUCAGACCGCAUAACAACAUACGUUGUUCCCUUUGUCAUCGGUAUGUUACUUGCCCGAGAUUCGAUCAUCGGUAUCUCAAUACCUAGUUCAAUCUCGUUACUGGCAAGUCUCUUUACUCGUUAUGUAAUACAUCAUCUCGCAACCAACUCAUUAGUUGCAAUGCUUGCAAGGCUUGUGUGAUGUGCAUUACCGAGAGGGCCCAGAGAUACCUCUCCGACAAUCGGAGUGACAAAUCCUAAUGUCAAAAUACGCCAACCCAACAUUUACCUUUGGAGACACCUAUAGAGCUCCUUUAUAAUCACCUAGUUACGUUGUGACGUUUGGUAGCACACAAAGUGUUCCUCCGGCAAAUGGGAGUUGCAUAAUCUCAUAGUCAUAGGAACAUGUAUAAGUCAUGAAGAAAGCAAUAGCAACAUACUAAACGAUCGGGUGCUAAGCUAAUGGAAUGGGUCAUGUCAAUCACAUCAUUCUCCUAUGUGAUCCCGUUAAUCAAAUGACAACACAUGUCUAUGGUUAGGAAACAUAACCAUCUUUGAUUAACGAGCUAGUCAAGUAGAGGCAUACUAGUGACGUUUAGUUUGUCUAUGUAUUCACACAAGUAUUAUGUUUCCGGAUAAUACAAUUCUAGCAUGAAUAAUAAACAUUUAUCAUGAUAUAAGGAAAUAAAAUAAUAACAUUAUUAUUGCCUCUAGGGCAUAUUUCCUUCACGUCUAGGCCGGAUGGUAAUAGGAGGCAGGGGACACGAUGUUUUACCCAGGUUCGGGCCCUCUUGCUGGAGGUAAAACCCUACAUCCUGCUUGAUUGAUAUUGAUGAUAUGGGUAGUACAAGAGUAGAUCUACCACGAGAUCAGAGAGGCUAAACCCUAGAAGCUAGCCUAUGGUAUGAUUGUAUGUUGUGGUUGUAUGUCCUACGCACUAAAACCCUUCGGUUUAUAUAGACACCAGAGAGGGUUAGGGUUACACAAGGUCGGUUACAAAGGAGGAGAUAUCCAUAUUCGUAUUGCCUAGCUUGCCUUCCAUGCCAAGUAGAGUCCCAUCCGGACACGAGACGAAGUCUUCAAUCUUGUAUCUUCAUAGUCCAACAGUCCGGCCACGGAUAUAAUCCGGUUGUCCGGAGACCCCCUAAUCCAGGACUCCCUCAGGCCCCAAAUAAAUGUUCACCUUGUCCGGCUUGAUUUUAGAAGUCGGGAAAAUUUAUUUCGGGAUUUUUGGAGUCCGUUUAGUAUUUCUUUUAUUUGUUUUUCUGCGCGAAACUAUUUAAAAACAACGAACUGACCUAGCCGGGCCGUACCCGACCCAGACUCUAGCCCGUCCGACCUUUAUAAGCCGGGGGAGCCCAGCCCGAGCCACCCAGCCCCGUCCUAACCCUAGACGCCGCCGCCCCGAUCCUCUACCGCCGCCUUGCUGCCGACCGCCGCCGCCCCGCCGGAGUUCGUCGCCGCCGGAGGUAGCCGCCGCCACCGCCGGUCUUCACCGGUUAACCGCCCGAUUUAAAAAAAAAACGCGGUCGUUUUCUUUUUUUAGAUCGUUUUAUAUAUUUUUUCUGGUUUAGUUUAUUUAGCGGACGUUCGUCCGUAUGUUCGUUUUAACGAACGGUUUUUGUCAUUUAGCCGCAGACAGUGAACGUUCGUUCGUUAGCCUGUUCGUCAUUUUUUCUUUUUCUCGGAUUUUCUGCAAUUAUUUCUGAUCAUGAUUUCUGAUCCGAUUUUCAUUUUAGUUUAACUUUUCGCUCGUUUAUCGGAAUCAGGCGAUUCAAACGCCUAGAGUUUCGUCUCGAAACCCUCUUUCUGUUUAACCAACUCAAAACAAGUUUUUGCUUCUGUAAAAUUUGACUUAGAUCUAGAUUAGUAAAUGAAGCUUGUUUCUUUUGCUAUUUGACUUUCGUUGCUUCGUUUGAUUUGAUUCUUUUUUGCAAACCGGAUUUCUUAAGUUGAACUUUCUGGUUAGAUCUCUUAUUCAAGUUUUACCUGUGCUUUAGAUGAGUGCUUAUUGUGUGCUUUUUUGUUUGCGAUAGAGUACCCGGAGUGCGCCGCUUGCUAUUUCGAAUCUCUAGGUUUCACGGAUCAUCAGCAAGGCAAGUAACACUUUGAUCAUACCUCUUACUACCCAGUUUUAUUGCAUUAGAUCAAUCCUCAAACAUUGCAUGAUUAGUGAGGGAGUCCUGUAUUAGGGGGUCUCCAGACAGCCGGACUAUAUCCUUUGGCCGGACUAUUGGACUAUGAAGAUACAAGAUUGAAGACUUCGUCUCGUGUCCGGAUGGGACUCUACUUGGCGUGGAAGGCAAGCUAGGCAGUACGGAUAUGGAUAUCUCCUCCUUUGUAACCGACCUUGAGUAACCCUAACCCUCUCCGGUGUCUAUAUAAACUGGAGGGUUUUUGUCCAUAGGACAACAUACAAUCAUACCAUAGGCUAGCUUCUAGGGUUUAGCCUCUCCGAUCUCGUGGUAGAUCAACUCUUGUAAUACCCAUAUCAUCAAUAUUAAUCAAGCAGGACAUAGGGUUUUACCUCCAUCAAGAGGGCCCGAACCUGGGUAAAACAUCGUGUCCCCUGCCUCCUGUUACCAUACGCCUUAGACGCACAGUUCGGGACCCCCUACCCGAGAUCCGCCGGUUUUGACACCGACAUUGGUGCUUUCAUUGAGAGUUCCUCUAUGUCGUCGCCGUUAGGCUUGACGGCUCCUACGAUCAUCGAUAGCGAUGCAGUACUGGGUGAGACUUUUUUCCCCGGACAGAUCUUUGUGUUCGGCGGCUUCGCACUGCGGGCCAACUCGCUUGGGCAUCUGGAGCAGAUCGAAAGUUACGCCCCUGGCCACCAGGUCAGGUUUGGAAGCUUAAACUACACGGCCGAUAUUCGCGGAGACUUGAUCUUUGACGGAUUCGAGCCUCUGCCUUGUGCGUCACGCAGUCGCGAUGAGUAUGAUUUAGCUCUACCAUCAGACAGUGUUCAGGAGAUCGCACCGGCAGCCGCUCCGACCCUCAAUUCGGAGCCAGUCGCGCCAUCCAUGGACGAGUGGAUGGACCCUGCCACGGAGGCCUUACCCUCAGCGGCGAUCGAGCCGAACAUCGACCUUACCCUGCAUGAGAGCCGUGUUGUCAGACUGCCAGAUCCUUCUCCGGCCAUGGACUCCGAACCGCUUGCGCCCGUUCCUAGCGAAUCCAGUUGGGCGCCGAUCAUGGAGUUUACCUCCGCGGAUAUUUUUCAGCACUCGCCCUUUGGUGACAUACUAAACUCAUUAAGGUCUCUCUCCUUGUCAGGAGGAUCCUUGCCGAACUAUGUCCGGCAGGAUUGGGAUGUGGAUGACGAAGAAAUUUUCUGCCCACCCACCACCCACUUAGUAGCCACUGUCGACGACUUAACCGACAUGCUCGACUUUGACUCCGAAGACAUCGACGGUAUGGACGACGAUGCGGGAAACGAAGAGGAACCACUACCCACAGGGCACUGGAUAGCCACCUCAUCAUACGAUAUAUACAUGGUGGACACACCCAAAGAAGGCAAUGGCGAUGAGACAGCGGAGGAUGACCCCUCCAAGAAGCAACCCAAGCGCCGAUAUCAGCGGCGCCGCUCUAAGUCCCGCCAAAGCAAAAGUGGUGAUACCAGCACAGGAGAUAAUAACACUCCGGAUAGUGCCGAAGAUGGCAACAAUCCCCUCCAGCACGAUCUAGGAUAGGAGGAUGGAGAGGCCAGCCCUCCAGAGAUAGCAGUAGAUGGAGAGGCGGAGGAUGAUAAUUACAUGUCCCCCUCCGAAGACGAGGCAAGCCUCGACGAUGAUGAAUUCGUCGUGCCAGAGGAUCCCUCUCGAACAAGAGCGCUUCAAGCGCCGGCUUAUAGCCACGGCAAAUAGCCUUAAGAAAAUGCAGCAGCAGUUUCAAGCUGAUCAAGAUCUGCUAGCUGACAAAUGGACUGAAGUCCACGCGGCCGAGGAAUAUAAACUCGAACGCCCCUCCAAGAGUUACCCAAAAUGCAGGUUGCUACCCCGACUAGAGGAGGAAGCGUAUGACGCGGCUGAUCGGCCACCUCGUGGUUGCGACAGAGAGGCAUUCCAGCCAAAAGCCCAGCCUGCACCCCGACGCCAUUCAAAUAAAAAGGCCUGGGGAAAUACGCCAGACCCGCGAGACGUAUUGGAGGACAAAGCAGAACAUGCAAGAUCGAUCUACGGAUCACAAGGGCGCGCCACUAGGCGAGACGAUAAUCGUCACGCUAGAUACAGUAAAAGUAAAUCCGGCCGGGCCGAACACAGCGGGCAAGACUCAUUUGAGAUGCGCCGCGAUAUAGCCCAGUACAGAGGCGCCGCACACCCCUUAUGCUUCACAGACAAAGUAAUGGAUCAUCAAAUCCCAAAGGGUUUCAAACCCGUAAAUAUAGAAUCAUACGAUGGCACAACAGAUCCUGCGGUAUGGAUCGAGGAUUUCCUCCUGCACAUCCACAUGGCCCGCGGUGAUGAUCUACACGCAAUCAAAUACCUCCCACUCAAACUCAAAGGACCAGCUCGACAUUGGCUCAACAGCUUGCCAGUAGAGUCCAUUGGCUGUUGGGAAGAUCUGGAAGCCGCAUAUCUCGACAACUUUCAGGGCACUUAUGUGCGACCACCAGAUCCCGAUGACCUGAGCCAUAUAAUUCAGCAGCCAGAGGAAUCGGCCAGGAAAUUCUGGACACGGUUCCUAACAAAGAAAAAUCAAAUCGUUGACUGUCCGGAUGCAGAGGCCCUAGCAGCUUUUAAGCACAACAUUCGUGACGAAUGGCUUGCCCGGCACCUUGGCCAAGAAAAGCUGAAAUCUAUGGUAGCCCUCAUGACACUCAUGACCCACUUUUAUGCGGGAGAGGACAGCUGGCUGGCUCGCAGCAAUAACAUAUCAAAGAAACAUGGUACUUCGGAUACCAAGGACGGCAACGGCAGGUCACAUCGCAACAAACAUAAGCGCCACAUUAACAGCGACAAUACCGAGGAUACAACAGUUAAUGCCGGAUUCAAAGGCUCUAAACCCGGUCAGUGGAAAAAGCCAUUCAAAAGAAGCACUCCGGGCCCGUCCAGUUUGGACCGUAUACUCGAUCGCUCGUGUCAAAUACACGGCACCCCCGACAAGCCAGCCAACCACACCAACAGGGAUUGUUGGGUGUUCAAGCAGGCCGGCAAGUUAAAUGCCGAAAACAAAGAUAAGGGGCCACAUAGCGAUGAUGAUGAGGAGCCCCGGCAGCCGAACACCGGAGGACAGAAGAGGUUCCCCCCACAAGUGCGGAUGGUGAACAUGAUAUACGCAACCCACAUCAUUAAGAGGGAGCGAAAGCAUGCAAUCAGGGACGUAUAUGCGUUGGAGCCAGUCACCCCAAAGUUCAACCCAUGGUCCUCCUGUCCGAUCACCUUCGAUCGCAGGGACCACCCCACUAGUAUCCGUCAUGGCGGAUUCGCCGCACUGGUCCUAGACCCAAUCAUUGACGGAUUUCACCUCACUCGAGUCCUUGUGGAUGGCGGCAGCAGCCUGAACCUGCUUUAUCAGGACACAGUGCACAAAAUGGGUAUAGACCCCUCAAGGAUCAAACCCACAAAAACGACCUUUAAAAGCGUCAUACCAGGUGUAGAGACCCAUUGCACAGGCUUAGUCACACUGGAAGUGGUCUUCGGAUCCCUGGAUAACUUCUGAAGCGAACAGUUAAUCUUCGAUAUAGUCCCGUUCCGCAGUGGCUAUCAUGCACUGCUCGGGCGAACCGCAUUUGCGAGAUUCAAUGCGGUACCGCAUUAUGCAUACCUCAAGCUCAAGAUGCCAGGACCUCGGGGGGUCAUUACAGUUAAUGGAAAUACAUAGCACUCUCUCCGAACGGAGGAGCACACUGCGGCCCUCGCAAAGCAGCCUCUUAAGGCAAUCCACUAGUUCGACGAUUAAGGACCCGGACACCUUCAAGCGCGCCCGGAGUAAUCGGCAACAGGACCGCCUGGCACGUUCCGAGCUCGCAUAGCAAUGCGGCCCCCACCCCGGCCCAAGCCAAACGGCGAAAUCCGUGCCACGCGUACAUAAUUACGCAUUAAAAAUACCAUGGGCACAGGUAGGGAGGGGGGCACGACUACGGCACUCUCCAAGAUGCGGCUUAAACCACACUAGGGGCUUCCCGCCUUGUUAUUUUUCUCUUUCAGGACUUUAAUCUCUGGAAACCCCGUCCAGCAGCAUGAUUGCCGAACACAUGAUGCAGCACUCAAGUAGGCAGAAAGCUACGUCACACGACGGAACUCCCAGGUGGAUUAUGAUAAUGAGUGAAAUACUUGCUUUAAUACUAUUCCUCAGCUUGCCCUUGGAGGGGACAUGUCAAAUAGUCCUACUUUUUGCUUAUCGCACUACCUGUAUCAUUCUGCUUUAACGCACCUUUUUGAAUAAACAAUGCAUAACAUUAAGACUAUUAUUGCAUUCUUCUUAUAUAUAUAUGUUCAUUCAUGACAUCCAGCACCCGUACACUCUGGUAUGGCCAAUACGCUAGGGGCUUAAGCAUACCCCAUAAUACGGUGUGAGAAGUCCGAACACUUUCACAAGUGCGGCACCCCGAACUUAUAGCAUUAUAUGCAUCAACUCCGAAUCAUGUCUUUGGUCAAUAGUUGGGUUUGCCCGACUCCCAUGUUUUGGUACCUUAUGUUCCGCUAUAUCGGCUAAGGUAGGAGAACUACUACGAUUAUGCCCCGGUUCAGCUGGACUAAGCACCUCAGUAGAGAAAGCUAAAACUGACUGUCAUGAUAAGGCGAGAGACUGGUCGCUGUUCGAGAGGUUUUCGAGUCCCUAAAGACUUAUGCCGCUUAGAGCGAGGAGUCGGCCCUGUCCGGCUUAAGGCGUGUAUCGCGCCCCGAAUUCAGCCUUCCGAAUACUGGGGGCUUCACCGAAAUUUAAAAUUAUAGAAUUCUAUGGCUAAGUGAGAGUGAUAACGCAUUAUAGUCCGUUUGCCUUGUUCGUUGUGCUGAGCACCUCCCUCAAAGGACCAAACAAUGGGAACAAGAGUGCUCAGGUUUAUCCCGAACACCCCAGCACUCGUGGCAUGGGGGCAGAAGCCGACGACUAGCCAUCUCUCAGAUUUGAUAAACAACCAAACAGAAGGUAAUAUUUUAAAUUCAAACAAGCGUUUCAUAGCGCAUAUGAACAAGUUUUCAUAACUACAGGAUUACACGAGCGAGUUUACUCAAAUAUUACAUCUUUCGUACACUUGUCCGCUACGAGACGGGCACCCUUCAGGACACCCUCAUAGUACAUCUCGGGGUGACGAUGCUCCUUGCCCGCCGGCGGCCCUUCCUUAAUCAGCUUCACGGCAUCCAGCUUGGCCCAUUGCACCUUCACACGGGCAAAAGCCCGGCGUGCACCUUCGAUGCAGACGAACCGCUUGAUGACUUCCAGCCGUGGGAAGGCAUCCACAAGCCGCCUCACCAGGCCGAAGUAGCUGUUGGGAAGGGCGUCGCCAGGCCACAUCCGGACUAUAAAGCCCUUCAUGGCCUGUUCGGCCGCCUUGUGUAGCUCGACCAACUGCUUUAGCUGGUCGCUCAUGGGCACCGGGUGUUCGGCCCUAGUAUACUGACACCAGAACAACUUCUCUGUUGAGCUUCCCUCCUCGGCCUGGUAAAACCAUGCGGCAUCCGACACGCUGCGGGGCAAAUCUAUGAACGCUCCUGGAGAGCUUCGGAUUCGGGUAAGUAACAAGUAAUUUACUUUCACAUGCUUGCUCUGCAUAAGGAAUGCCUUACCCGCCGCUAUUUUCUUCAUCGCCUCAAUCUCAUGGAGGGCUCUUUGGGCUUCAGCCUUGGCAUUUUUCGCGCUUUCGAGGGCCGCGGCAAGCUCGGACUCUCGCGUCUUCGAGUCACGCUCCAACGCCUCAUGCUUCGACACGAGAGCUUGGAGCUCUUGUUGCACCUCGCCCACCCGUGCCUCCUGCCUUUCCCGCUCGGUGCGCUCCUUGGCCGCUUUGUCUUCGGCCUCGGAUAGCACUUGCUUCAGGGUCGCCACCUCGGUCGUGGCCCCUGGCAAAUUUACGAUGAUCCUGUCAUUUUGCAAUCGCGUCUUCUUUUAUAUAUACAUAUCUAUAGACAGGGUAUUACUUACCCUUUUUCUCCUCGAGCUGCCUCUUGGCAAGGCCGAGCUCUUUCUUGGACCCCUCGAGGUCCUGCUUCAAUGCGGCAACCUCCAUAGUCUGUGCGGCAGAGGCCAACAACGAAGCCUGCAUACGCAUAUAGACAUACUUAUGUUAGACUCCUGCGAUAUUGUUUGAUCCUCUAUUCGGCUUUUCUUUUUGAACACCGAACAGAGCAUCAGGGGCUACUGUCUAUGCGGUAAUAUUUUUCCUAUAUUUCAGACACUUACCUCAAAGCCUGUUAGAAGGAUGGCACAGGCUUCAGUCAAUCCGCUCUUGGCGGACUGAACCUUCUGGACCACCGCACUCAUAAUAGUGCGGUGCUCUUCGUCAAUGGAAGCGCUGUGAAGCGCUCCCAGCAGAUUGUCCGGUGCCUCUGGUUGGACAGAGGUCACCGGCACAGGCGUCUUGCCCCUUUUGGAAGGAGGCCGCCUGCCUGAGUCCGGAACCAUUGGAGGUUCCGGCGCGGUGUUCGGCUGAGGGCCGAACUCGGAGCCCUUGGGAGCCUUGCUCCCUCUGCUCCCGGAGUCUGAAAGGUCGCCUUGAGGUGCCUCCGAGACUGUCUCCCCUCGACCCGGUGCCUCUUGAGACAAUACCUCGGAGUUGUCCGUAGGGCAAGGGGAGGUGGCGGUCGGAAGUGGAUCGCUAUCCAUAUCCGACGAGCCCAGGGAGCCGUCCGACGAUACAUUGAUACGGGCUCGUGGCGGUCUGCAUAAUCAUAAUUCGGCGUUAGGAGAAGCGGUGCGACAAAGGAAUGCUAUGAGUUACUCUGGUAUCCAAAUACUUACGACUUCGCCAGGGGCUUGGCCCUGAGUAGCCACUCGUCUUCGCCUUCGGCGGCGGUGGUGGAGUAGUCCGGAAGGAGAGUCCUUCCCUUCUUGGACCCUUCGCCCCCCAGUAGGGGCGGCCUUCCAUUUCUUGUCUACCUCGACUGGAGGGGGAACAUCUUCAUCUUCCUCCUCGUCUUCGGGGGAGGAGUGCGUCGCGGAGUUAUCGGACAAUGAGUCCGGUAACACCUGGCGCCGGGAGCUCUUUCAGGUUCCCUUGGCCUUCUUGGCCUUCUCCGGCACCUUGUAAGGAGCGGGAGUCAGCAUCUCCAUCAGGAGAGCGUCCGCAGUGUCUUCGGGCAGAGGGGCCGGACAGUUAAUCUGCCCCGACGUCUCCACCCAGUCCUGUCAAAGGCAUGGAGAUCAAACCCCGCACAUGGUUAAGCUAGGGGAAAUAAAUAUCCUACCGGAUGUAUAGAACUCACCGAAUGCGCUCGGCGCUUCGCGCUUAGCCCACGGUCCUCGGUGAGAGAGGGAGGGACCUUGGCGCCCUUGAACAACACCUUCCAAACAUCCUUGUGCGUUGUGUCGAAGAGCUCGCUCAGGUGCUGGGCCGGGUCGAACUCCCACAAGUUGAAGUCCCGUUGUUGGCACGGGAGGAUCCGGCGGAUGAGCAUGACCUGGACUAUGUUAACAAGCUUGAGCUUCUUGCUUGUCAUGUUCAGGAUACAUUUCUGGAGUCCGUCCAGCUCCAUCGAUGAACCCCACGACAAGCCCUUCUCUUUCCAGGAAGUGAGCCGUGUAGGGAAUCCGAAUCGAAACAUGGGGGCAGCCACCCAUUUGGUGUCGCGCGGCUCGGUGAUGUAGAACCACACUGAUUGCCACCCCUUUAUGGUCUCCACGAAGGAGCCUUCAAGCCAUAUAACCUUGGGCAUCUUGCCCACCAUGGCUCCGCUGCAUUCUUCUUGUUGGCCGCCCACCACCUUCGGCUUGAUAUUGAAGGUCUUUAGCCAUAGGCCGAAGUGGGGGCGGAUGCGGAGGAAAGCCUCACAGAUGACGAUGAACGCCGAAAUAUUGAGGAUGAAGUUCGGGGCCAGAUCAUGGAAGUCCAGCCCGUAGUAGAACAUGAGACCACAGACGAAUGGAUGAAGGGGAAACCCCAGUCCACGGAGGAAGUGGUGGAGGAAAACUACCCUCUCAUGGGGUUCUGGGGUAGGGACGAUCUGCCCCGCAGCGGGCAGCCAAUGCGCGAUAUUCGCGGCUAAGUAUCCGGCUCCGUGCAGCUUUUUGAUGUGUUCCUCCGUAACGGAGGAAGCCAUCCACUUGCCUCCCGCUCCGGACAUGAUUGGAGAAGGUUGAAGGGAAGGAUGUAGGCUUGGGCGUUGGAGCUCGAGUGCGCAAGAGAGGAUGAGCAAGGAGGAAGAAGGCAUGGGUAGAAAAAGGUUAAACCUUAUCCCUUUAUAAGGGCGGCCGAAGCCAUGCGCCCUCACUAGCCUGGUAAAACUCGCUUAUUCCCCAAGCGCCGUAAUCGAUGGCGCAGUUGGGUUACCCACGCCUGUAUUGAUGAGAAUCCUGUAAUAAGGGGGACACGAUCCCUGCUUUGACAAGACGUGUCAGGAAACUGCCUCGCCUUAUGUGCGGAGUUAGUUAAAGGAAACGGUUCGAAUAAUCACCAGGCCAUGACAUAACGUCAUGUUGCCGAAACGUGUCAGCAUAUUAGAUUUGUGGAAAUAUUAUUCUCUCUAUAGUUGUAUGUGGAACUUAUUUUGCAGGGUCGGACACUAUCCUUGUAUUCAAAUUCUUCCGGGGUGUAUUCGGAGGAGGAACCCGCCUUGCAAUGCCAAAGACAAUACUGCGCGCCAGACUCGACGUCAUUGAAGCCUGGUUCAGGGGCUACUGAUGGAGUCCUGGAUUAGGGGGUCUCCAGACUGCCGGACUAUAUCCUUUGGCCGGACUGUUGGACUAUGAAGAUACAAGAUUGAAGACUUCGUCUCGUGUCCGGAUGGGACUCUACUUGGCAUGGAAGGCAAGCUAGGCAGUACGAAUAUGGAUAUCUCCUCGUUUGUAACCGACCUUGAGUAACCCUAACCCUCUCCGGUGUCUAUAUAAACCGGAGGGUUUUAGUCCGUAGGACAACAUACAAUCAUACCAUAGGCUAUCUUCUAGGGUUUAGCCUCUCCAAUCUCGUGGUAGAUCAACUCUUGUAAUACCCAUAUCAUCAAUAUUAAUCAAGCAGGACGUAGGGUUUUACCUCCAUCAAGAGGGCCCGAACCUAGGUAAAACAUCGUGUCCCCUGCCUCCUGUUACCAUCCGCCUUAGACGCACAGUUCGGGACCCCCUACCCGAGAUCCGCCGGUUUUGACACCGACAAUUAGGAUCUAAUUAAAUUGUUGGUUUUGGGAAAGUAGAUGAGGUAGUACCUAUUACUUGUUUUAUUAUCAAACCUUGGGAGUUACUUCUACGUUUGCUUAUAUUGCCAUGCUAUGCUAGUAUACGUGGACUGGGUGAGUGUAUCCAUGACAGAUGUGAGAUUGUUAAUUAAUGGUUUAUUUAAGGUGGCAACUUUAAUACACAUCUGGGUGGAUUGAGACACCUGGGUAUUCCAGCGAUUGCCUGUUUUUCUUCAUGGACCGCCACCCAGACUCAAAGGGAUCAUGAAAUUAUUCAUACUAGAAACUUCCAUGUGCAGCCACAAGCUACUAUGGGCUCUAGCAUAGUUGAUUAAGUCAUGCAAACUCUUACAGUGGUAGACUAGCAGAUGUAGGGGAAAGUAGGUGUAACGGUCUACCCGAUCGUAAGGUGCUAGCGCUUCUGAAAGACUAUGUCUCGGUCAUCCGUUUCUCAAACACCAUGUAGUGCGAGAAUCCCAACGGAGGAGAUCGAGUCUCGUGGGGAAAAGUGCGCAAACCUCUGCAGAGUGUAUAAACUUAUCAUGAUUAGCCGUGUCCCCGGUUAUGGACGUCUUGAGUAUCUAGUACUUGGAUUAUCAUGUGAAUCUCAUCAUGUGACUUUAAUUAAUUUUGUUGGGUUUUAAUGAUGAUGUUUAAUUGGGAUUGAGAGGGUGUCUACACUCUCAAUGUUUAACAACCACCAUGGUAGUUAAAUAAAAUUUAUUCCUUUGCAGUAGGGAAAAACUGGCUUUAUGCAAAACUAUAACCAUAGAGCUUCCCACCAGCCAUAUAAGCAUGUAGUAUAGCCUAUUUCUGUCCAUUACUCUCUAUGUGUUACAUUGCCAACAUAUUCCAUGUGCUGACCCGUUUUCGGGCUGCAACUUUCAUGUUGCAGACUUUUCAGACGACGAGUAAGGUCCCUUUAGGUCGUGGUUCUAUACUCAGUGAUGCCGUUGGAGUUGAUGGACUCACUUAUCUUCCAAGCCUUCCGCUGUUAUCAUAAUUAGAUGGCCUUAAGCCAUAUUAUUUGUAAUAAGUUCUAUUUUGAGACACUUGUUGUAAUAAGUGUGUGAUUGCUACUCUAUUAUAAUCCUUCAAGUACUGUGCGUGUCAGCAUUACUGAUCCAGGGAUGACACUAAAGCACAGGGAUCAGACUGUUUGAGGUCUGGUCGCUACAAGAUGGUAUCAGAGCACACACUGACUGUAGGACAUGACCACUAAGUUGAAGCCCUAGAUCACUACUCACUCUUCUCAUUUCUAACUCCUCAUCUUUUCUACUCUUUUAGGAUGGUGGAUGCAAGGAACAAGUUCACGCAGCCGGAUGAAGAUACACCCUUUGGACGCCACCUGAAGGAAGUCACUAAGUACCUGAACAUCGGAGUACCAAGCUUCAUCGGGACCUACAACGCCACUUUACCCGAGGAGGAGCGCUGGAUGAUUCAAGUUCAAGUUCCAGGAAGGACGUUCGCACCAGUCACCGAGCUCAUAGAGUUUUCCUUUGAUGCACCAACCUGGAGUCUAGGAAAGAGCAUGGCAGCCCACAUCGCCAUGGGACGUAUUGGAGAAGUUUACCGCAAUGACCUUAAGGAUACUAUCUACCAGAUUUGUGGGCGCCGAGAUGAGCGCUGGGAAAUGAUCAGCACCAAGAAGGAUAGAUCAAUCGCAUCUUUUAUCCAGGAGUUAAACCAGCACAUUCGACAUCAGGAGAACCAGAUGUGCGCAGGCAUGUUAGAUCUGAAGAAGGCGAUGACAUGAAUCAUGGAACUGGAGGAAGAACUCAAGGCUACACGUGAAGAUUAUGAGGAGGAAAUCGUCGUACUAGUGGAGAAGAAUGACGACCUGAUUAAGAAGAUCAGAAUAUUCAUGGGAGACCCCACACCAAUAGAAGAAGACGGAGAACCCAAGGAGAUUCGCCCGGAAGACUACAUCAUCAUCGACGACACCGACUCUGACCUGAGCGAUGAUGACUUUGAAGACGAAGCUGGAGCAAAUAUCAUGGAGUCUGCGACCGAAGAAUAUUUCUAGUAGACCACCACAUCAGUAGUAGUUUUCCACCAUGUAAAUAGAGUAGUCCAAGCACUUUUGCGAUAGUUAGACUGAUUGUAUGCCCUUGUUUGAUUGAUUGAGUGAAAUGUUUGUGUUUGUCUCAUGUGCAUAUGGGUAGUGCUUUCUCAUUAGACCUCAUUCUAUUCUAAUCUUUCCCCUCUAAACCCAUCAGAUGCCUCUGAGACGUGUCAAUGGAUUUGCCUUCCCACCGGAGCUCACUCAGUUGAUCCAGCAGCAAAAUGCAUUGAUGCAUUUGCUAGUCCAGAAUCAGAAUCAGGGGAACAACAACAACAACAACCCACCACCACCACCACCACCUGUUGACCACUUAACCCGUUUCCUUAGACUAAAUCCGUCGGUGUUCUCCAGUAGCACCGAGCCUAUAGUAGCAGAUGAUUGGCUCCGCAAGAUUGGAAGGGAGUUAACCACUACAGGAUGUACCGACGCUGAGAAGGUGCGUUUUGCCGCACACUAGUUGGAUGGACCAGCAGCAUCAUGGUGGGAGAAUUACAUUGUCACCUACCCUAUAGCCACAAUGACAUGGGACCAAUUUCAGUAGGCUUUCCAUACAGCCCAUGUUUCAGCAGGAGCUAUGGUCAUGAAGAAGCGUGAGUUUCGCAACUUGCGCCAAGGAGGACGGAUAGUUGGCCAAUACGUGGAUGACUUUAGUAAGUUAGCACGUUAUGCCCCGGAUGACGUUGCUACGGAUGCAGCUAAGUAGGAGAAGUUUCUGGAAGGACUAAAUGAUGAGUUAAGCAUGCAAUUGAUGGUAGCAACUUUCAACAACUACCAGGAACUGGUAGAUCACGCUCUUAUGAUUGAAGGGAAGCAGCAGCAGAUUGAGAAACGCAAGAGAAAGUAUGGACAAGGGAAGUACAACUCAGGAGCUCAGCAGAAGCCACGUUUUACCCCGAAAACGGGAAGACAUUUUCAGCAUACCCAUGGAGAAGGGAGUUCGCAUAAUCAUAAUGGCCCCAAGAACGGUAAUGGGAAUGGGAGAAGCAACGGUCAGAACCAUACCAAUCCAUCAACCCCAGCCAAGAGAGACCUGAGCCAAGUCACUUGUUAUAAGUGUCAGAAGACCGGACAUUAUGCCAAUGAAUGUCCUGAAACCCAGAAUGGAAAUGGCAAUGGAAGCUCUGGGAAGAAGCCGAACCCUUUCAACAGGGGACAGGUGAACCACGUUAACAUGGAGGAGGUUGAAGCCCAGCCAGAUGCAGUAAUAGGUAAGUUUUUGGUUAAGUCAUUUACUGCAAUCGUCCUUUUUGAUACUGGUGCAUCACAUUCAUACAUAUCAAGGGGAUUCGUGGAUAAGUAUAAACUGCCCACCAAGGUUCUUAGAACACCUACGUUAGUAAGCUCACCAGGAGUGGAGUAUAUGGCCAGUAAAGGAUGUUUUCAAGUGCCAUUGAGUAUAGGUAGGCAUGUGUUUCCCUCGGAUUUAAUCAUUUUGGAAUCGCAAGGUUUGGAUGUAAUUCUGGGUAUGGAUUGGCUAUCGAUGUAUGGAGGAAACAUCGAUUGUGCCAGUAAGUCGAUUUUGGUUAUCACCCCAGAAGGAAGAAGGAUCAAGUAUGUGUCACGGCAUGAGCCGAAGAGGACACAAGUAAAUUCCCUAUCAGGAGUAGUACAGGAGGAAGUACCAGUGGUAAAGGAUUUUCCAAAUGUAUUUCCAGAAGAAUUGCCCGGCAUGCCACCAGAUAGAGACAUUGAGUUUUUGAUUGAGCUUUUGCCAAGCACAUGACCAUUAUCUAAGAGACCGUAUAGAAUGCCUGCAAAGGAUUUGGAGGAGAUUAAGAAGCAGAUUAAGGAGUUACUGGAUAAGGGAUUAUAUUCAACCAAGUUCGUCACCUUGGGGAUCACCAGUACUUCUAGUGGAAAACAAGAAUGGAUCGUUAAGGAUGGUUGUUGAUUAUCGAGGAUUGAAUGAAGUGACGAUCAAGAAUAAGUACCCACUGCCGAUGAUCAAUGAUUUGUUUGACCAAUUGCAAGGAGCUAAGGUAUUUUCCAAGAUCUAUUUGCGAUCAGGAUACCACGAGUUGAAGAUUCGAGAGCAGGACAUACCUAAGACAGCUUUUACCACAAGGUAUGGGUUGUAUGAGUAUACCGUUAUGUCAUUUGGUCUGACUAACGCAUAUGCUUAUUUUAUGAACAUGAUGAACAAAGUGUUUAUGGAGUUUUUGGAUAAGUUCGUCGUAGUAUUCAUUGAUGAUAUUCUGGUCUACUCGAAGAAUGAAUAAGAACAUAAAGAACAGUUGCGUUUGGUACUUGGUAAGCUCAGAGAACAUCAGUUAUACGCCAAGUUUAGCAAAUGUGAGUUUUGUUUGAAGGAAGUUGGAUUCCUCGGACAUGUUAUAUCCGGAGAAGGAAUAGCAGUAGAUCCCACCAAAGUUGUCACUGUGACAAAUUGGGAAGCUCCAACAACAGUUGGAGAGAUCCGGAGUUUUCUUGGACUCGCAGGAUACUACCAGAGAUUCAUUGAAAAUUUCUCGAAGAUUGCAAAACCUAUGACGGAGUUGUUGAAGAAGGAUACCAAGUUCAAAUGGACUGAGGAAUGUGAGGCCAGUUUCUAGGAGUUGAAGAAACAUUUGGUUACCUCGCCAGUAUUGAUUCUGCCAGAUCAGCGCAAGGAUUAUGAGGUGUAUUGUGAUGCUUCACCUCGAGGACUUGGAGCAGUGCUUAUGCGGGAGGGAAGAGUUGUUUCGUAUGCUUCACGAUAGCUUAAGCCCCAUGAGUUGAAUUAUGCUACACAUGAUUUGGAGUUAGCAGCCGUAGUGCACACAUUGAAGACUUGGAGACAUUUUCUCAUUGGAAACCAUUGUGAGGUGUACACGGAUAACAAGAGUUUGAAGUACAUCUUCACGCAGAAGGAGUUGAAUCUCAGGCAAAGAAGAUGGUUGGAGCUCAUCAAGGAUUAUGACAUGAGAUUGCAUUAUCACCCCGGAAAGGCUAACGUAGUAGCCGAUGCGUUGAGCCGCAAGAGCCAUGUCAACACACUAAUGACCGGAGAGUUACCAAAGGAGUUAGCCGAGGAUCUUCGUGAGCUAUGUUUGGAGAUAGUUCCGAGAGGCUAUGUAGCAGCAUUGGAGAUUCAGUCUACUCUGAUCGAUAAGAUCAGAGAAGCUCAGAAGACCGACAAGGAGAUUGCCUCUAUUAAAGAGAAAAUGAGCAAGGGAAAAGCUAAAGGAUUUCGUGAGGAUGAACACGAUACCUUAUGGUUUGAGGACCGCGUUUAUGUGCCCAAUGACCCGGAGAUCAGGAAGUUAAUUUUGCAAGAGGCCCAUGAUUCGCCGUACUCGAUUCACCCAGGAAAUACCAAGAUGUGUUUGGAUUUGAAAGACACUUUUUGGUGGACCGGAAUGAAGAAGGAUAUUGCAGAGUAUGUAGCCGUUUGUGAUGUAUGUCAGAGAGUAAAGGCAGAGCAUCAGAAGCCACCAGGAUUGCUACAGCCAUUGCCGAUACCCGAAUGGAACUGGGAUAAGCUAGGCAUGGAUUUUAUCAUGGGAUUACCCAGGACCCGCUCAGGCUAUGACUCGAUAUGGGUUGUAGUCGAUCUCUUGACGAAGGUAGCUCAUUUCAUCCUAGUAAAGACCACUUACACCAGUGCUAAGUUGGCAAAGAUAUACAUGACCAGGAUCGUAUGUCUGCAUGGAGUUCCGAGGAGCAUUGUAUCAGAUAGAGGAACCCAGUUUACCUCAAAGUUCUGGAAUCAGUUGCAUGAAACUUUGGGUACCAGGCUAGAGUCAGUACAACUUUUCAUCCAUAGACCAAUGGACAGACCGAGAGAGUCAAUCAGAUUUGGAGGAUAUGCUGAGAGUUUGUGCGCUAGAUUAUGGAUCUAGUUGGGAUGACAACUUUCCAUAUCCGGAGUUCUCUUACAACAAUAGUUAUCAAUCCAGUUUGAAGAUGGCCCGUUUUGAAGCCUUGUACGGAAGGCGGUGCAGAACACCAUUGUUGUGGGAUGAAGUUGGAGACCACCAGUUGUUUGGACCAGAUUUGAUUAAGGAGUCUGAACAGAAAGUGAAGUUGAUUCGCGAUAGGCUCAGGGUAGCCCGGUCCAGGCAGAAGAGCUAUGCAGAUUCUAAACGCAAGGAGACAGUUUACGAAGUCAGAGAUAGGCUUUAUCUUCGUGUAUCCCCUCUUCGAGGAGUUAAGCGCUUUGGAGUUAAGGGAAAAUUAGCGCCACGUUUUGUGGGACCAUACAAAGUUUUGGAGCGUAUGGGAGAAGUUGCUUACAAGUUGGAGUUGCCCGAAGGAUUGUUAGGAGUUCACGACGUGUUCCACAUUUCACAGUUGAAAAAGUGCCAUGCAGAGAUGGCUGAUACACCACUAAGAGAUACAAUGCGGCUAGAAGCGAUUCAGUUGGAUAGUGAUUUGACCUACGAGGAGAACCCAGUCAAGAUUCUCGAAUAUGCCAUCCGAGUCACCCGCAGCAAGGUUAUCCGGUUUUUUAAAGUUCAGUGGAGCCACCACACCGAGGAUGAAGCCACCUGGGACCGAGAGGAAGAUCUGCUGAAGGACCAUCCUCACCUAUUUUCUAGCCAACCCGAAUCUCGAGGGCGAGAUUCAUCUUAAGGGGGGUAGGUUUGUAACAUCGCAAAAUUUCAAUUUGGAAUGUUAUACAUAGAUCGUCAUUGCAUAUCAUAUUUUAUUUGCAUUUUGUCUUGAUCCUAGAAAUCCUACGCAACUCAAGGACCCAUGGAGAGAGUUGGGGAUUUCGUUAUUUUCAUAUUUUGGGUUUUCUCAAAUUUUGAAAAUAGGAUCAUUUGAUUUAAUUAUUUUAUCUUCAAUAAUUCCAAUUAUAAAAAGAAGUGAGAGGGAAUACAAUGACUUUCCCAAAUUAAAGGAAUAUUAAGGAUUUAAUAAAAAAUCAAAUACAAAUUUUUAUUUUGGAGUUUUUCGCUGUUUUAUUUGAAUUUAGGAAAAAUACGUGUUUUUCAAAAUUGCAUUUAGGCCCCAAAUAAAUGUUCACCUUGUCCGGCUUGAUUUUAGAAGUCGGGGAAAUUUUAUUUCGGGAUUUUUGGAGUCCAUUUAGUAUUUCUUUUAUUUGUUUUUCUUCGUGAAACUAUUUAAAAAAACGAACCGACCUAGCCGGGCCGUACCCGACCCGGACUCUAGCCCGGCCGGCCUUUAUAAGCCGGGGGAGCCCAGCCCGAGCCACCCAGCCCCGCCCUAACCCUAGACGCUACCGCCGCCGCCACCGCUGCCCGCUGCCACCGCCUCGCCGCUGACCGCCACCGCCCCGCCGGAGUUCGCCGUCGCAGGAGGUAGCCGCCGCCGCCGCCGGUCUUCACCGGUAACCGCCCGUUUUUUUAAAAAAACCCGCGGUCGUUUUCUUUUUUUAGAUCGUUUUUUUCGCGGUAUAUUUUAUUUAGCGGAUGUUCGUCCGUGCGUUCGUUUUAACGAACGGUUUUCGUCGUUUAGCCGCAGACAGCGAACGUUCGUUGGUUAGCCUGUUCGUUGUUUUUUCUUUUUCUCGGAUUUUCCGCAAUUAUUUCUGAUCGCGAUUUCUGAUCUGAUUUUCGUUUUAGUUUAACUUUUCGCUCGUUUAUCGGAAUCAGGCGAUUCAAGCGCCUAGAGUUUCUCGAAACCCUCUUUCCGUUUAACCAACUCAAAACAAGUUUUUGCUUCUGUAAAAUUUAACUUAGAUCCAGAUUAGUAAACGAAGCUUGUUUCUUUUGCUGUUUGACUUUCGUUGCUUUGUUUGAUUUGAUUCUUUUUGCAAACCGGAGUUCGUAAGUUGAACUUUCUGGUUAGAUCUCUUAUUCGAGUUUUACCUGUGCUUUAGAGGAGUGCUUAUUGUGUGCUUGUUUGUUUGCGAUAGAGUACCCGGAGUGCGCCGCUUGCUACUUCAAAUCUCUAGGUUUCACGGAUCAUCAGCAAGGCAAGUAACACUUUGAUCAUACCUCUUACUACCCAGUUUUAUUGCAUUAGAUCAAUCCUCAAACAUUACAUGAUUAAGAUCUAAUUAAAUUGUGGGUUUUGGGAAAGUAGAUGAGGUAGUAACUAUUUCCUGUUUUAUUAUCAAACCCUUGGGAGUUACUUCUACGUUUGCUUAUAUUGCCAUGCUAUGCUAGUAGAUGUGGAUUGGGUGAGUGUAUCCAUGACAUAUGUGAUAUUGUUCAUUAAUGGUUUAUUUAAGGUGGCAACUUUAAUAUACAUCUGGGUGGAUUGAGGCACCUGGGUAUUCCAGCGAUUGCCUGUUUUUCUUUAUGGGCCGUCACCCAGACUCAAAGGGAUCAUGAGAUUAUUCAUACUAGAAACUCCCGCGUGCAGCCACAAGCUACUAUGGGCUCUAGCAUAGUUGAUUAAGUCGUGUGAACUCUUACAGUGGUAGACUAGCAGAUGUAGGGGAAAGUAGGUGUAACGGUCUACCCGAUCGUAAGGUGCUAGUGCUUCUGAAAGACUAUGUCUCGGUCAUCCGUUUCUCAAACACCAUGUAGUGCAAGAAUCCCAACGGAGGAGAUCGAGUCUUGUGGGGAAAAGUGCGCAAACCUCUGCAGAGUGUGUAAACUAAUCAUGAUUAGCCGUGUCCCCGGUUAUGGACGUAUUGAGUAUCUAGUACUUGGAUUAUCAUGUGAAUCUCAUCAUGUAACUUUAAUUAAUUUUGUUGGGUUUUAAUGAUGAGGUUUAAUUGGGAUUGAGAGGGUGUCUACACUCUCAAUGUUUAACAACCACCAUGAUAGUUAAAUAAAAUUUAUUCCUUUGUAGUAGGGAAAACCUGGCUUUACGCAAAAGUGUAACCAUAGAGCUUCCCACCAGCCAUAUAAGCAUGUAGUAUAGCCUAUUUCUGUCCAUUACUCUCUAUGUGUUACAUUGCCAGCAUAUUCCAUGUGCUGACCCGUUUUCGGGCUGCAACGUUCAUGUUGCAGACUUUUUAGACGACAAGUAAGGUGCCUUUAGGUCGUGGUUCUAUACUCAGUGAUGCUGUUGGAGUUGAUGGAUUCAGUUAUCUUCCAAGCCUUCCGCUGUUAUCGUAAUUAGAUGGCCUUAAGCCAUAUUAUUUGUAAUAAGUUCUCUUUUGAGACACUCAUUGUAAUAAGUGUGUGAUUGCUACUCUUCUAUAAAUCCUUCAAGUACUGUGUGUGUCAGCAUUACUGAUCCAGGGAUGACACUAAAGCACAGAGAUCAGACUGUUUGAGGUCUGGUCGCUACAAUAAGUCCGUGAGACUUAUUAAGGAGACAUGUAACAUGGAGUUUGAUGAGAAUAACGGCUCCCAAGUGGAGAAAAGUGGCACUUGUGAUGUAGGUGAUGAAAUUCCUCCCCAAGCCAUAAGAAGAAUGGGUGUUGGUUUUAUCCUACCCAUUGAAGAACCCCUUGUGGCCGAAGGAGAAGGAUAAUGCUCCACUCUUGUGGAGCCAUCACCAACACAAGGCCCACACGCUUCCGAAGAACAAAGUGAAGGCCCUCAACCUUAAGAACAAGACCAAGGGCAAGGUCAAUUUCAAGAUGGUGUUGUAACAUCAAGUGAUGACCAAGGUCAAGUUCUCUCUUCCGAGCAAGUUCAAGAUCAAGAGCUUCUUUGAGAUCAAGAACAAGCUCAAGACGGCGCUCAAGAUGAUCAAGUGACCACUCCUCGUCUCACCACCGAGGAGGAAUUGGAGGGUCGUGCCGCCAAGAUUGCUUCCAAGCUCUACACCAAGGAUCAUCUCAUGACAAAUGUGGUUGGAAGCUUAAGAAAGGGGGUAAGCACUCAUAGACAAUUAGCAAACUAUUGUGAACAUCACGCGUUUGUCUCUUGUGUUGAACCCCAAAAGGUCUAUGAGGCACUCGAAGAUCCGGAUUGGCUCAAUGCCAUGCAUGAAGAACUCAACAACUUCGAGCGCAACAAGGUGUGGAGAUUGGUGCCAAGGCGAACAGGGAACCACGAUGUCAUUGGAACCAAGUGGAUAUUCAAGAACAAGCAAGAUGCUCAUGGGAUUAUCAUUCGCAACAAGGCUCGGUUGGUAGCACAAGGCUACUCGCAAGUCGAGGGCAUCGACUACGGUGAAACCUUUGCCCCCGUUGCCCAUCUUGAAUCCAUUCGCAUGUUGAUUGCAUAUGCUUCUCAUCAUAACUUUUUAGUUACAACAAAUGGAUGUGAAGAGUGCUUUUCUUAAUGGUCCCAUUAACGAGUUGGUUUAUGUCAAGCAACCCCCCGGGUUCGAGGAUCCAUACUUUCCCGAUCAUGUGUAUCAACUCAAUAAGGCACUCUAUGGCCUUAAACAAGCCCCACGUGCGUGGUAUGACCACCUUACCGAGUUGUUACAAGACCGUGGUUUUGAAGAUGGGCUAAUCGACCCCACUCUUUUUACUAAGAAGGUCAAAGGGGAGUUGUUUGUGUGCCAAUUAUAUGUUGAUGAUAUUAUCUUUGGUUCCCCUAACAAAGCUUUCAAUGAAGAAUUUGCCGCUCUCAUGACCUCAAAGUUCGAGAUGUCUUCCAUGGGAGAGUUGAAGUUCUUUCUCAGGUUCGAAGUGAAGCAAAGAAGAGAAGGAACCUUCAUCAACCAAGCCAAAUACACUCAAGACAUUCUCGAGAUCAAGAUAAGUGAUGUCAAGCCGACGUCAACUCCUAUGCCCGUCAAAUGCCAACUUGACAUAGAUCCCAAUGGUAAAGCGGUGGAUCAAAAGGUAUAUCGCUCCAUGAUUGGCUCUUUGCUUUACCUUUGUGCAUCUAGACUGAAUAUCAUGUGGAGUGUGAGAAUUUGUGCACGGUUUCAAGCCGCACCUAAGGAAAGUCACUCCGUGGCAGUCAAGCGAAUCUUUCGAUAUUUGGCUCAUACCCCAAACUUUGGCCUAUGGUGCCCAAGAGGAGCAAACUUCAAGCUUGUAGGUUAUUCGGACUCGGAUUGGGCGGGAGACAAAGUGGAUAGGAAGUCCACUUCUGGAGGGUGCCAAUUUCUCGGUUGCUCUUUAGUGAGUUGGUCUUCCAAGAAGCAAAGUUGUGUGUUUCUCUCGUCCAUCGAAGCGGAGUAUGUGGCGGCCGGUAGUUGUUGUGCACAACUCUUAUGGAUGACACAAACUUUAAAGGAUUACAGCGUCAUUUGUGACAAAGUGCCUCUUUGGUGUGACAAUGAAAGUGCAAUCAAGAUUUCUCUCAACCCGGUGCAACACUUCAAGACGAAGCAUAUUGAGAUCCGGUAUCACUUCAUCCGGGAGCAUAUUAGGCGAGGAGGGAUCGAGCUCAACUAUGUCAACACUCUUGAUAACCUUGCAGACAUCUUCACGAAGCCCUUGGAUGAAGCAAGAUUUCGCGAGUUAAGGCAUGAGCUAAAUAUCAUUGAUUCGAGCAAUGUUGCUUGAACCCGUGCACACCCCACCAUACUUAACUUGUUAUCUUGUUUAGAUGUAGGCAUGGACAUAGGGGGAGUGUUGUUCUCUCAAUGGACUCUCCCUCCCCCCAUUAUUCAUAAACCAAUCAAACUCUUUCACUCUAGCCAAUUUUUGAUGGCUCAUGUGCUUCAAAGAUGAGUUUUGGUCAUGGGUCCAAGGUUAAAAUCUUCGCGGCACCAUACCUUCAAACUCAAACAUAGGCGGUCUCGGCCACCGCCCUAUCUUGUAGGAGUGUGUGUUCUUCGUCUUCUUCGUGUUGGUUUUGAGUGUGUGUUCUCUCUUGUUUUCUAGUCGUUUUCCCUUUUUGAGCUUAGCCGUGUUUAGCCUGUCUUGUUGCGGCAGAGCAGUACUACCGCUGGGUGCGCGGUACUACCGCUGAUGAACAUCAAGCGGUGCUACCGCCCACACCAGCGGUACUACCACUAUGGGGCGGGCGUGGGGGGUUAUGUUGGGGUCGAGGGAGUUGCUUUUCUCCCCCAUACCCAUACGUCUCGCCGCAGGAGGGCUUCGGCCGACCGCCAUCUUUGUGCCAUUCCUCUCUAGUUCCUCCGGUGGAGUCGAUCCCCAGCGCGUCCUCUUGCCAUGGAUGCCGGUAUUGCCCCCGUUCCCGUUCUCUUUUUGCCUAGAUCUCACAUCUAGUUGUCAGGGGCAAUAGGCAUUGCUUUUCUCGAUUUUUGGCUAAGCCGAGGCUUGAGUAGGAUGGAGAUGGCUUCUAGGCCUUUUGGAUUGAUGAUUGGUAGACAUAUUUUUGAAUUUGGCAUCCCCGGUAGUGCCGGAUCUGUCCACGGUCGUAGGGAACCGCCAUUUCCCGUUUGGAGCGGUACUACCGCUCUUCGAGCACGGUACUACCGCUGGAUGCCCAAUUCCACUCUUUCCUACCACUCUUUGAUAUAUGUUGUCUUGUUUGGAGGAUUAUGCUCUUUCUUUCGUGUUGUUUCUUCUGCUCAUGUGUUUGGUUCCAAGUGAUGAACAUCCUGAGCAGCAAGUUCGCCGUGUCAACCCCGGACGUGCGACGUCCAAGCGCUACCGCACCUCUGAGAUAAUGGCGACCUCUUCAAGUGCUCCACCAAGUGUUCCUCCAAGUGUUCCGCCUCAAAUGAAGAAGAUGCGUGUGUCCAAGCCCAAGCCAAGGGCCAAGUCUGUAACAGAGAUGUCUGCCAAGGAAUUCUGGGAGAAGCGUCGGCGCAACCCCUAUGAGGUCGAUCAAGAGCCUGCCUUGGUCAACUGCUCGUUCUGGAACCGCUUUCAGUAUGUUGUCUACUUUUAUGUGAUCAAGGCCAAGAAGAACCUUUUUGUUAACAUUCGCUCCAUCAAUGUCGUCUUUAUGGAGAAGGAUCCGAACUACUUUUGGGAGGCACUUCAGAUGUGCUCUCAGUUGAACAUCCUUAGGAUCAUGCAGUUCAACAAGGAUUUUGAUGCAGAUUUAGUUGCUCAGUUUUAUGCCAUCGUCCAUCUUGGGACCGAUGCGGACAUGACUCUGACCCGGAUGACAAAUGGCAGGUUGCUUACUAUCAAGUGGAAGGCCUUCAUGGAGCUUCUUGAAGUUGAUGAUCAAGGUCUUGAGAACCCAGUUGGCUUUCGCCCUCACCGCAAUGCUACCUCCACACACAAACAAGCUCUUUGGCCAUACUGUACCGUGAAGGUUAUCCAAGUGACUAAGAAGGAGACCUAUGAGCUGCCAGCAUUUCUGGAUAUUCUCCAUCGCAUCUUCAGGGAGACACUCUUCCCUCGCAUCCGCAACUUGGAUAUGGUACACUGUUAUCUUGUGGACAUGCUUCUUUUCUAUCAACAUGAGAAGGAAGAAAACUCUGGAGACUCUUUGGAUAUCUCUCAUGUCAUGUGGUCUGAGUUGGUUUCCGCAGUCUCUGAGCGCAAGUGCCCAAUCUAUGGACCAUUUAUCAUGUGGCUCAUUGAGAAGGCCUGGGAGCGUGUGUAUCCGAGGGUGGUGCUGGAGACUGGAGAUCUAGUUUCUCAUGAGAUCAAGCGUCUGAGGAAGAAGGAGAACUGGGGCACAACUGGUCCGAGUUCUGGCGUUCCGCCUGAAGCUGCCGACAUGGAGACCGAGGCUGAUGCUGCUGAUGAUGAUGACUAUGAGCCAUCUGGAGCAGAACCCUCUUGGGCAAAGAAGUUCAAGCGCAAGAUGAAGAAACUCUUCUACAUGGAGUCUCACGGUCAGCACAUGACUCAUGUGGCUGACAAGCAGGCCAGGAGUUGUCACAAGGAGCUCAUGCGUCAGUUGGGUGCGACCGUUGCCAGCGGAUCUGAGGGCAAGAUCACUGAUGAGGAGGAGUGGAUUCAGCAGCACUAUCCGUGGACCGACUCAGACACCGAGCAGUUUCUGACCAAUGACGGCGGUGCAGACGAUCACGCUGGGAUAUGAUGUUUGAGAUCCUCAGUUGGCUAUCACCUGGAGCGUAGCUUCGCUCUUUGCCUUUUUGGUGUUUCGAUGCCAAAGGGGGAGAGAGUUUAGGGAUUUGUGUCUUUGUUUGAGUUGUGAGCUUGUGUUUGUGUGGCGUGGUUGUCUUGCCUGUCUUUCUCGUGUUUGAACCUUUCGUGUGUUGGUUUGGGUGUGCUCGUGAGACUUUCUGUCAUAUGGUGUAAGACAUAUGCACUCUACCGCACCGUAUUGAGCUUAAGUUAUCUUGUGCUAGUUAUGAUUUGCUCUUAUCUAUUAUCCUGCUUAGUGUUAGCCUUAUUCAUUGCAAGAUAUGCUAUGUCUAUAAAAUAUAGGGGGGGGGGUGUUGAUCCUAAUAUGUGUGCCGUGCAGUCCAAAGCACUUUCAUAAGAUAGCACACACAUCUAGGGGGAGCCUGUCUAUAUUUUAGAGAUGUGGGGUUUGCUUAUGUCAUAUAUUUUUUCCCUUUGUGCAAAUCCCGUAUUAUCAUCAAUCCACCAAAAAUGGGGAGAUUGUAAGGGAAUAUUUAUCCCUAAGGUGUUUUGGUGAUUGAUGACAAUGCUUUUGUGGACUAAUCAUGUGCUUUGAGCUUUUCAGGGAUUCAUCCUUUGGCACGAGGCGAUUCUUUCCCCUCAGAGUUUGUUAUUCAAGACGGUGUAGCUCCUUCGUUUCUAGUUUUGUGGUCUUGUCUCAUAGGAGUCUCCGUACUAUCAAGAGGGGGUCCGCUUUGGUAAGGCUUGGGUGGAAUCAUCACGUACACUUUCUUUUCGCACCCUCUGAGCCUUCCCGCGUCGAUGGAGGUCUCUUUUCUUGCGUUUUGAGCAUGCUGUGGUCCAAGCGGUAGUAUCGCGGUACCCAGCGGUAGUACCGCUUGUGGGUUCUCAGCCGCCAUACUGCGGUACCCAGCGGUAGUACCGCUUGUGGGUUCGCAGCCGCAUUUCCGCUACGGUACAGGGCUCCUACCGCGUCGACUCGAGGGGGUCGCCUGGUUAUGCGGCACUUCGUAGCGGCAGCAGAAGCGGUAGUACCGCUUGAGAGCGGUAGUACUGCCCUACCACCGCGGCAGUGCCGCACUAGGCUUGGUUCCGGCUCUUUCUUCAAGCCCUCCCAGACUGGACGGUAGUACCGCGAGGGGGAGCGGUAGUACCGCUGGGUCCAGCGGUAGUACCGCUGCCACCUGUGGUAGUACCGCCCUUUGCGGGGCUGUGUUGGGGGUAACGGUUGGAUGGUUUCCCCUUGUAUAAAAGGGGGUCCUCUUCUUCUUCAUUGACUUACCUCUUCCCCCAAAAGCUCCAUUAAUGCUCCAAGCUCCAUUUUCGCCCGAUCUCUCUCCCUAGCCAAUCAAACUUGUUGAUUUGCUCGGGAUUGGUUGAGAAGGCCCCGAUCCACACUUCCACGAAGAGAAAUUUGAUUCCCCUCACUAAUCCCUAGCAGAUCUUGUUACUCUUGGGUGUUUGAGCACCCUAGACAGUUGAGGUCACCAUAGAGCCAUAUUCCAGUGUGGUGAAGCUUCGUAGUGUUGUUGGGAGCCUCCGAUUAAGUUGUGGAGAUUGCCCCAACCUUGUUUGUAAAUGUCCGGUCGCCGCCUCCAAGGGCACCAAUAGUGGAAUCACGGCACCUCGCAUUGUGUGAGGGCGUGAGGAGAAUACGGUGGCCCUAGUGGCUUCUUGGGGAGCAUUGUGCCUCCACACCGCUCCAACGGAGAUGUACUUCCCCUCAAAGGGAAGGAACUUCGGUAACACAUCCUCGUCUUCACCAGCUGCACUCUUGGUUAUCUCGUCCCUUUACUUGUGCAAGCUUUUGUGUUAUUUACCUUGCUUGCUUGUGUGCUUGUUGUUGUUGCAUCAUAUUGGUUGCCCACCUAGUUGCAUAUCUAGACAACCUACUUUGAUGCAAAGUUUAAAUUGGUAAAGAAAAGCUAAAAAUUGUUAGUUGCCUAUUCACCCCCCUCUAGUCAACUAUAUCGAUCCUUUCACGCGGCUACAAAGAUGUCCUCCACAUGGACGGGCAUUUUUUCUAUUAGGGAGAACAAAAAAGAGGAGAGGUACAAGCUCAUGUUGGAUGCGCAAAAGGAUAGGGUGAAUUGGGAUCGGGAUAGGGCGAACAAGGAGCUGCAAAUUGAGAUGGAAAAGAUCGAGUUGGAGAAGAAAGAGGCAGCGAUCAAAUGAGAGCUCGAGAAGGCCAAGACAUUUGGAGAGAUUUAGUUUGAGAAGGAGAGGUUACAAACCGCACGGGAUGUGAAGGAUGCGAAUAUAUUGUUGACGGAAGAAAGCCUCUUGGAUGAGCAUGCAAAGAAGUGACUUGUGGGGAUGAAGAAGGAGAUCAAAGAGUGUAGAGAGUACGAAGCGGCGAGGGCGCCUAUGACAGCAAUGGAGCAUGCGGCAAGGAUGCAGGUGGAGUACAAGGCAAGGAUGGCCGCGGAGAAGGCGGCAUGGAUGGCGUCUAGCGAGUGGUCCGGCCUACUAGUGAGUGAUCCGUCACGCUCUGAUUCUGAUUUCAUUUUGGCAUGUCUGGAUUGUUGAACUAUGAUUUGUUUUGCUUUGUCAUAUUUGUUUCGAACGAUUUGAAUUGGGACGAUUUGUAUCGUAUGACCAACGUGCAUGAAUUGCAUUGAUUAAAGGAUCUGUAUUUAACGUGUGUAGAUGUGUGGCAGCCCAAAUGGGGGGCCAUCCAACGGAGAAAUUUUGUUUGGUUGAUGAAACCUUUCAAACUGAGACAACAUAUCUCUUUCCUCCUCCACAAGAAAAGCUCUUCUCCUCUCAUUGGCACUUCUGCUGGUCUGCCCCAUCUCCGAUGGCCUCUAGGCCAUGGAGGUGCGGAGGAUCUCGACCCCCCAUCGGCGGGAGGGACCCCGUUCCCGUUCUUGCUAGAUUCAACAUCUUCGUUGGGGCCGUGUGCCGACGGCGAUGUCCCUUAACAGGAAUAAUGUCUCCCACAUUCUAUCCCCAUCCUAAUGGUGCGUCUAGCAUCGUUGGAGGACGUAUGGAGGUUUGUUUUCGUCGAAUCUUGCGGAAUUCGGCCGGUGUUGUUCUUCAGUGGAUCUGUCUGGAUCCGGUCUUUGUUCAUCUUUGUUUGGGUAUUUACAUGUUUGAUCCUUCUGAUCUACGACUUUCUUCAUUGGCGAUGGUUGCUAAUUUGGUGCGCUGGUCCUAUGGGGCCUUAGCACGACAACUUCCCGACUGUCUACUACAAUAAUGUUUGCUCGGCCCCGGUGAGGGAGGGGCGAUGACGGUGGCGCGUCUCCGGCUCGCUCCAAUGUUUGUAGUCGUAAGAUAAUUCCACAUAAGAAAAAACACAAUGACUUCAGGAUUUUUUUUUAAAAUAGGCCAAAAAAUGUGAAUAGUGACUUGUAUAUAGCAACAAUUUUUGUUUGCAUUGAAGUCAACAGUGAUUCUUUUUUAAUGAAUACGCUACUGUGAGCGUAUCAUUGCAUUGAUAGAAGGGGUUAGAACAUACAGAGUGGCAUCAUGGUCACGUACACUACAAGGUGUGCACACGAUACAAAGAGAGAAUGAGAUGGGUUGUUCAACCCAGACAACCUAGGGUACAUUACAGGGAUAAUGCUGUUGAGCCCUUCGACUCCUGCAAAGGCCCAGGAGCGGGCGUCGUCCUUGAUCGUCAUCAGGAGGGAGGCGGAGGAGGGCGUAAUUUUGUCGAAGAUGACCACAUUGCGAUGACGCCAGAUGGACCAGGCCGUAAGGGAGGCAAUAGUAGAUAGCCCACGUCAUUUCUCCAUGGCAACAGAGUCAAUAGCAGUACUAAGCCAUCUCAGGAAGUCGACGGCGCCAUCCGGCACGGGGAUCACAGGGCAGCACCAAGAAAGGAUGCCGUGCCAGAUGAUGCGGGAGAAUACACACCCAACUAAGAGGUGGUGGAGGGUCUUGUCAUGCUGGGAGCAUAGAACGAAAGCAGGCUCAUGGGGAAGACUGCGUCUCGCGGGCCGGUCAGCCAUCCAACAUCGGUUAGCACAGGCGAGGUAGAGGAAGAACUUGACGGAGAGCGGGGUGAUACGUCUCCAACGUAUCAAUAAUUUUUGAUCGUUUCAUGCUAUUAUAUUAUCAACCUUGGAUGUUUUAUAUGCAUUUAUAUGCUAUUUUAUAUGAUUUUUGGGACUAACCUAUUAACCUAGAGCCCAGUGCCAGUUUCUGUUUUUUCCUUGUUUUAGAGUAUCGUAGAAAAGGAAAAUCAAACGGAGUCCAAUUGACCUGAAACUUCACGAAACUUAUUUUUGGACCAGAAGAAGCCCACGAAGUAUCAGAGAUGGACCAGGAGAGUCCCGGGCUGCCCACGAGGGUGGGGGGCGUACCCACCCCCCUGGGUGCGCCCCCUGCCUCAUGGACAGCCCGGAGAUCCACCGACGUACUUCUUCCUCCCAUAUAUACCCAUAUACCCUAAAAACUUCGCGGAGCACAAUAAAUCAGGAGUUCCGCCGCCAGAAGCCUUCGUAGCCACCAAAAACCAAUCUAGACCCAUUCCGGCACCCUGCCGGAGGGGGGAACCCUCACCGGUGGCCAUCUUCAUCAUCCCGGCGCUCUCCAUGACGAGGAGGGAGUAGUUCACCCUCGGGGCUGAGGGUAUGUACCAGUAGCUAUGUGUUUGAUCUCUCUCUCUCUCAUGUUCUUGAGGUGGCGCGAUCUUGAUGUAUCGCGAGCUUUGCUAUUAUAGUUGGAUCUUAUGAUGUUUCUCCCCCUCUACUCUCUUGUAAUGGAUUGAGUUUUCCCUUUGAAGUUAUCUUAUCGGAUUGAGUCUUUAAGGAUUUGAGAACACUUGAUGUAUGUCUUGCAUGGGAUACCUGUGGUGGCAAUGGGGUAUUCUAUGAUCCACUUGAUGUAUGUUUUGGUGAUUAACUUGCGGGUUCCGUGACCUUGGGAAUCUAUGCAUAGGGGUUGGCACAUGUUUUUGUCUUGACUCUCCGGUAGAAACUUCGGGGCACUCUUUGAGGUUCUAUGUGUUGGUUGAAUAGAUGAAUCUGAGAUUGUGUGAUGCAUAUCGUAUAAUCAUACCCACAGAUACUUGAGGUGACAUUGGAGUAUCUAGGUGACAUUAGGGUUUUGGUUGAUUUGUUUCUUCAUGUGUUAUUCUAGUACGAACUCUAGGGCUGUUUGUGACACUUAUAGGAAUAGCCCAACGGAUUGAUUGGAAAGAAUAACUUUGAGGUGGUUUCGUACCCUACCAUAAUCUCUUCGUUUGUUCUCCGCUAUUAGUGACUUUGGAGUGACUCUUUGUUGCAUGUUGAGGGAUAGUUAUGUGAUCCAAUUAUGUUAUUAUUGUUGAGAGAACUUGCACUAGUGAAAGUAUGAACCCUAGGCCUUGUUUCCUAGCAUUGCAAUACCGUUUGUGCUCAAUUUUAUCAUUAGUUACCUUUCUGUUUUUAUAUUUUCAGAUUACAAAAACCUUCAUCUACCAUCCAUAUACCACUUGUAUCACCAUCUCUUCGCCGAACUAGUGCACCUAUACAAUUUACCAUUGUACUGGGUGUGUUGGGGACACAAGAGACUCUUUGUUAUUUGGUUGCAGGGUUGCUUGAGAGAGACCAUCUUCAUCCUACGCCUCCUACGGAUUGAUAAACCUUAGGUCAUCCACUUGAGGGAAAUUUGCUACUGUCCUACAAACCUCUGCACUUGGAGGCCCAACAACGUCUACAAGAAGAAGGUUGUGUCGUAGACAUCACGGGGCCGCAGAUUUCCAGAUGAGACGCCAAUGCUCGGAGGACGUAGAGCCGGUGAAUAAGGCGUUGUAGCAAGAGGAAGUGGAGUAGGCACCGCUCUCCGUCCAGCACCAAGAGAUGGUAUCAGGCUCCUGAGAAAGGACGAUGGCCUGCAAACAGCGCGGGAGGUCAAAGUACUCGAGAGCAGCAGCCAGACUGAGAUGGUCGUGGAUAUCACCGAUCCACAUGCGAUCCUGCAGACCCGAGGUGACAGUACGUGAGUGACGGCGCCGGCUCGGGACAAUGGUUGUGAGGCUUGGGGCGAGCUCAUCGAUAGAGUGCCCCUGAAGCCACUUGUCAGUCCAUAAGCGGCAAGUGGAACCGUUGCCGAGGGACCAUGACGUCGAAGCACGGAAGAACCGCAGGGCCUCGGGGUACGAAGGCGACUGAAGAUGUGACCAUGGCCGAGAAGGGUCAGAAGCAUGCAGCCAAAGCCAGCGCACCCAAGGGAAAUGCCUGUGCGGUGUAGAUCACGAAUUCCGAGCCCACCUAGCUCGAUCGGACGGCAAACACGUGCCCAGCUAACAAGACAGGAGCCAGAGCGGGCGUCUUUUCGUCCAUGCCAUAGAAAAUCGUGGAUGAUCCAGUUGGCUUUCUUGAGGAUGGGGGGGGGGACAAAGACAUGGCCAGUAAGAUAUGGACUGGCAUGGCCGUGAGGACUUGUCGGAUCAAGGCAAGCCAUCCACCGCGCGAAAGGUGGGCAGCUCUCCAGGUGGCCAGCUUGCGCAACAGCUUAUCGAUGAAGGGUAGCAAGCUAGUGACUGGCACCUUGCGGAGGGAGAGGGGAAGGCCGAGGUACUGAAUGGGGAAGGCCACGACCGGGCAGGAUAGGGAGGAGCCCACAGCUUGGGAGACCUCUGGAGUGCACUGAAUUGGAGCCGCCGCACACUUGGCGAAGUUGGUGCGCAGCCCGGACACUGCCCCAAAGAAGUCGAGCAGUGAGCUAACAGCGGCAAGCUCGGAAGGAUCCGGGUGGCAGAAAAUGACCACAUCAUCCGCAAAGAGGGAGAUACUCAAGGCAGCCAUCCUGUCGGUGAGGCGCCGAAUGAUGCCCGUGGUCACCGCAUGCUGCAAGAGCGAGUUGAGGGCGUCGAUCACCAGGACGAAGAGCAUAGGUGAAACGGGGUCGCCUUGCCGAAGGCCUUGACAGUGGGCAAUGGGGGGGGGCAGGCACACCAUUGAUCAUCACACGAGUGGAGGCCGUGGAUAUGAGGAUGGAAAUCCACUCACGCCAUCAGGACCCGAAGCCAAGAUGCUGAAGGACCUGGAGAAGAAACGGCCAUGAGAUGGAGUCGAAGGCAUGGGCGAUAUCCAGUUUGAGGAGGACUCGGGGGAGCGGAGUCGAUGAAGUUGCCGCACCAUUUGCUAGACAAGGAUGAAGUUAUCGUGUACACUCCCUCCCGCAAUGAAGGCACUUUGGUUGGAGGAGACCAUCUCGGCAAGUCUAGGAGCCAGCCGCAAGGAGAGAACCUAGGCAAAUAACUUAGCCACGAUGUGAAGGAGACUGGUAGGGCGGUAGUCGAAAAUCAUGGCUGCAUCGGGCUUCAUAGGGAUCAGGGUGAUCAGGGCCUCAUUCAGUCUCUGGAACGCUUGACCAUUGAGGGUGUAAAGCUUAUCGAAGACAACACAUAGGUCAUGCUUGAUGGUGUCCCAGCAAGAGCGGAGAAAUUCCAUGGUGAAUCUGUCUGGGCCUGGCGCCUUGCCCGAAGGGAGCUUCUUAAUCGCCUCCCAAAUCUCAUCUGCAGUGAACGGAGCCUCAAGCUCGCCCAGAUGGAAGGAAGGGUGGCCGAUGGCAUAGAGGUUGAGCGUGGCAGCGCGUCCAUCCUGAGAGCCAAGGAUAGCGGAUACGUGUUCAAAUGCGGCGCGAGCAAGAUCCACCUCCCUAGGAACCCGCUGCCCAUUGACGGUGAGGUCGAUGAUCGUGUUCUUCUUCAUGCGGUGCGAAGCGUAGUGUAGCGACCAGACCUCAAACGGUCUAAUCUCUGUGCUCAGGUGUCAGCCCUGGAUCAGUAAUGCUGACACCACACAGUACUUGAUGGAUUUAUAACAGAGUAGCAAUCACACACUUAUUACAUCGAGUGUCUCAAAAGAGAACUUAUUACAAUAAAUAUGGCUUAAGGCCAUCUAAUAACGAUAACAGCGGAAGGCUUGGAAGAUAAGUGAGUCCAUCAACUCCAACGGCAUCACUGAUUAUAGAACCAUGACCUAAAAACACCUUAAUCAUCGUCUGAAAAGUCUGCAACAUUAACCUUGCAGCCCGAAAUGGGUCAGCACAUGGAAUAUGCUGGGAAAAUAACACAUAGAGAGUAAUGGAAAGAAAUAGACUAUUAUAUAUGCAUAUUUGGCCGGUGGAAAGCUCUAUGGUUACAGUUUUGCAUAAAGCCAAUUUUUCCCUACUGCAAAGGAAUAAAUUUUAUUUAACUAUCAUGGUAGUUGUUAAACAUUGAGAAUGGUUGACAGCAUUCUCAAUCCCAAUUAAGCAUCAUCAUUAAACAAAACCCAACAAAAUUAAUUUUUGAGUAACAUGUUGAGAUUCACAUGAUAAUCCAGGUACUAGAUACUCAAGAUGUCCAUAACCAGGGACACGGCUAAUCAUGAUUAGUUUAUACACUCUACAGAGGUUUGUGCAUUUUCCCCACAAGACUCGAUCGCCUCCGUUUGGUUUCUCGCACUACUUGGUGUUUGAGAAGACGGAUGACCGAGGCAUAGUCUUUCAGAAGCGCUAGCACCUUACGAUCAGGUAGACUGUUACACCUACUUUCCCCUACAUCUGCUAGUCUACCACUGUAAGAGUUCGCACAACUUAAUCAACUAUGCUAGAGCACAUAAUAGCUUGUGGCUGCACACGGAAGUUUCUAGCAUGAAUAAUCUCAUGAUCCCUUUGAGCCUGGGUGGUGGUCCAAAAGAAAACAGGCAAUCGCUGGAAUACCCAGGUGCCUCAAUCCACCCAGAUGUGUGUUUAAGGUGCCACCUUAAAUAAGCCAUUAAUUAACAAUCUCACAUCUGUCAUGGAUACACUCACCCAAUCCACGUCUACUAGCAUAGCAUGGCAUAAUAAGAAAACGUAGAAGUAACUCCCAAAGGUUUGAUAAUAACAGGUAAUAGGUACUACCUCAACUACUUCCCAAACCCACAAUUUAAUUAGAUCCUAAUCAUGCAAUGUGUGAGGAUUGAUCUAAUGCAGUAAAACUGGAUAGAGGGAAAGCAUGAUCAAAGUGUUACUUGCCUUGCUGAUGAUCCGGAAAACCUAGCGAUCGAAGUAGCAAGUGGUGCUCCGGGUACUCUAUCGCAAACAAACAAGCAUACAAUAAGUACUCAACUAAUGCACAUGUAAAACUAAAAUAAGAGAUCUAACCAGAAAGUUCAACUUAAGAACUCCGAUUGGCACAAAAGAAUCAAAUCGAACGUAGCAACGAAAGACAAACGACAAAAGAAACAGGCUUCAUUUACUAUUCUGGAUCUAGGGCAAUUUUUACAGUGGCAAAAACUUGUUUAAGUUGGCUAAACGGAAAGAGGGUUUCGAGGCGAAACUCCAUGCGCUUGAAUCGCCUGAUUCUGAUAAACGAGCGAAAAGUUAGACUAAAACGAAAAUCGGAUCAGAAAUCGCGAUCAGAAAAAUCGCGGAUUUAAUCCGAGAAAAAGAAAAAAGACGAACGUUCGUUAUAACGAACGAACAGACGAACGCUCGCAAAAUAAAUAACCGGAAAAACCGAUCUAUUAAAAAACCGAAACUAAACAAAAAACAAACAAACAAAACCGUCAGAAAAACCGAACGGUUUUUCGAAAAAACCCGGCGGCGGCGAGACAACCUCCGGCGGCGGCGAUGUCGNNNNNNNNNNNNNNNNNNNNNNNNNNNNNNNNNNNNNNNNNNNNNNNNNNNNNNNNNNNNNNNNNNNNNNNNNNNNNNNNNNNNNNNNNNNNNNNNNNNNNNNNNNNNNNNNNNNNNNNNNNNNNNNNNNNNNNNNNNNNNNNNNNNNNNNNNNNNNNNNNNNNNNNNNNNNNNNNNNNNNNNNNNNNNNNNNNNNNNNNNNNNNNNNNNNNNNNNNNNNNNNNNNNNNNNNNNNNNNNNNNNNNUAGGGUUUCAGGAGGGGGGGGGGCUUGGGCUUUGGCGGGGCCUCGAGGCGCUAUAAAAAGGCCCGGCCAGGAGGAGUCCUGGCCGGUUACGGCCCAAGGUCGGUUCGGACUUUUUUUAAAAAUAAUUACGCUCGAAAAAAAACAAAAGGAAACUAAACGGACUCCAAAAAUCCCGAAAUAAAUUUUCCCCGGCUUCUAAAAUCAAGCCGCACAGGAUGAAAAUUUAUUUGGGGCCUAAAUGAAAUUUUGAAAAACGCGCAUUUUUCCUAAAUUCAAAUAAAAUAGCAAAUAAAACCAAAUAAAAUCUUAUUUGAUUUUUUUAUUAAAUCCCCAAUAUUUAUUUAUUUUGGGAAAGUCAUUUUAUUCCCUCUCUCAUCAUUUUUAUAAUAGAAAUAAUUGAAGAUAAAAUAAAUAGAAUCAAAUGAUCCUAUUUUCAAAAUUUGAGACAACUCAAAUAUGAAAAUAACGAAAUCCCCAACUCUCUCCGAGGGUCCUUGAGUUGCGUGAAAUUUCUAGGAUCAGCCAAAAUGCAAUAAAUAUGAUAUGCAAUGAUGAUCUAGUGUAUAACAUUCCAAAUUGAAAAUUUGGGAUGUUACAAACCUACCCCCUUAAGAUGAAUCUCGCCCUCGAGAUUCGGGUUGGUUAGAAAAUAGGUGAGAAUGGUCCUUCUGCAAAUCUUCCUCUCGUUACCAGGUGGCUUCAUCCUCCCUGUGGUGGCUCCACUAAACCUUGCAAAACUUGAUAACCUUACUGUGGGUGACUCGACUGGCAUACUCUAGAAUCUUAACUGGUUUCUCCUCAUAGGUCAAAUCACUGUCCAACUGAAUUGCUUCCAGUGGUACCGUAUCUCUCAGCGGUAUGUCAGCCAUCUCUGCAUGGCACUUCUUCAACUGGGAUACACGAAACACUUUGUGAACUCCUGACAAUCCUUCGGGCAAUUCCAACUUAUAGGCAACUUCUCCCAUACGCUCCAAAACUUUGUAUGGGCCUACAAAACGUGGCGCUAACUUUCCCUUAACUCCAAAGCACUUAACUCCUCGAAGUGGUGAUACUCGAAGAUAAACUCGGUCUCCGACUUCGUAAACUGUCUCCUUGCGUUUAGAAUCUGCAUAACUCUUCUGCCUGGACUGGGCUACCUUGAGCCUAUCGCGAAUCAAUUUCACUUUCUGUUCAGACUCCUUUAUCAGAUCCGGUCCAAACAACUGGCGAUCUCCAACUUCAUCCCAGGACAAUGGGGUCCUGCACCUCCUUCCAUACAAGGCUUUGAAAGGGGCCAUCUUCAAACUGGAUUGAUAGCUGCUGUUGUAAGAGAACUCUGCAUACGGCAAAUUCUCGUCCCAACUAGAUCUGUAAUCUAGCGCACAAGCUCUUAGCAUAUAUAUCCUCCAAAAUCUGAUUGACUCUCUCAGUCUGUCCAUCUGUCUGCGGGUGGAAAUCUGUGUUAAACUCCAGUCUGGUACCCAAAGUUUCAUGCAACUGAUUCCAGAACUUUGAGGUAAAUUGGGUUCCUCUAUCUGAUACUUUGCUCCUUGGAACUCCAUGCAGACAAACGAUUCUAGUCAUGUAUAUAUUUGCCAACUUUGCACUGGUAUAGGUAGUCUUCACUGGAACGAAAUGAGCUACCUUUGUCAAACGAUCGACUACAACCCAUAUCGAUUCAUAUCCUGAACGUGUUCUGGGCAAUCCUGUAAUAAAAUCCAUGCCUAAAUUAUCCCACUUCCAUUCGGGUAUCGGCAAUGGUUGUAGCAAUCCUGCUGGCUUCUGAUGCUCUGCCUUUACUCUCUGACAUACAUCACAAACUGCUACAUACUCCGCAAUAUCCUUCUUCAUUCCGGUCCACCAGAAAGUAUCCUUCAAAUCCAAAUACAUCUUGGUAUUUCCUGGGUGAAUCGAAUACGGUGAAUCAUGGGCCUCUUGUAAAAUUAACUUCCUGAUCUCCAAAUCAUUUGGUACAUAGACACGGUCUUCAAACCAUAAGGUAUCGUGCUCAUCCUCACGAAAUCCCUUAGCUUUUCCUUUGCUCAUUUUCUCCUUAAUAGAGGCAAUCUCCUUAUCAGUCUUCUGGGCUUCUCUAAUCUUAUCCAUCAAAGUAGACUGAAUCUCCAAUGCUGCUACAUAGCCUCUUGGAACUAUUUCCAAACAUAGCUCUCGAAGAUUUUAGGCUAACUCCCUUGGUAAAUCUCCCGUCAUUAGGGUGUUGACAUCGCUCUUACGGCUUAACGCGUCUGCUACUACGUUAGCCUUUCCGGGGUGAUAAUGCAAUUUCCUAUCAUAAUCCUUGAUGAGCUCCAACCAUCUCCUUUGUCUGAGGUUCAACUCCUUCUGUGUGAAAAUAUACUUCAAACUCUUGUGAUCCGUGUACACCUCGCAAUGGUUUCCAAUCAGAAAAUGUCUCCAAGUCUUCAAUGCAUGCACUACGGCUGCUAAUUCCAAAUCAUGCGUAGCAUAAUUCAACUCAUGGGGCUUAAGCUGUCGUGAGGCAUAUGAAACAACUCUUCCUUCCUGCAUAAGAACUGCUCCAAGUCCUCGACGUGAAGCAUCGCAAUACACCUCAUAAUCCUUGGUCUGAUCCGGUAAAAUCAACACUAGUGAGGUAACCAAACGUUUCUUCAACUCCUGGAAACUAGCCUCACACUCCUCAGUCCAUUUGAACUUGGUAUCCUUCUUCAACAACUCCGUCAUAGGCUUCGCAAUCUUUGAGAAAUUCUCAAUAAACCUGUCACAUCCCUAGUUCUGGUAUGACCUAGACCAGCUAGUCAAUUGUGCAUCAUGUUCAAAUUCCAUUUAAAUUUGAAAUGGGGAUGUUUGAAACCCUCAGAAUCAUUUCUGGAAAUAACCCAGAUAAAAAUUGCUCCAAAAAGGUCCAAGAAAAUGUUCAUGUAGCUCUCUGAAAAUAUUGGUUAGAGGUAAAAUUCAAACAAAUAUUUUUAGGAGCUCAUAAAUAUUUAUUUUGGCCAUUUGGAAUUAAUGCAAUAAUUAUUUGCAUUGGAUAUAUAUAUGAUAUAUUUAUUUAUAUAUGUCCAACAAUUCUGAUUUUUAUGUGAGGGGCUCUGGAAUACUUCAACUAGCUCCUACAAUAAAUUUCAGAAGAAAAUAAAUUGAUUUAGUAUUUUAUUAAAUCAAAACAAAUGUCAGAAAAUAGAAAACAAAACAAAAAUAGAGAAGAAACUUACCUGCGGCCAGCUCCUGUGCUGGCCCAGCACUGUGCGGCCUGGCCGGCCCAGUUGGCCAGCCCAGCCCACCUGCCCCCCUCCCCUGUCGUCUUCCUCCCGCCAGGAGGACGCACGCGUGGCCGCCACGCGCAAGCACACGCCGGCCACCUCCUGCUUCCCUGCUCGCCGCUGGAGGCAUCCGAGGGCGACACGCACCCCCCCGACCCCCCUCGUCCACUCCCCUCCCCUCUGGUCGCCCCUCUCCUCCUCUGCUCUCUUCCCCGCUGCUGCCCGAGCGCCACCAUCGCCACUGACGUCGUUCGACACGCCCACCGUAGUCCCCUCGCCCCUCCGUCAUGCCCAAAAUCUCCACCACCUCGUCCGCUACCUCUCCGUCACGCCACGCGUCGCCGGACGCCCUGUGGAGCCGCCUCCGCCAUCAUCUUCAACCUCGGCUGCCGUGGAUCUCCACCGCCCGUCCAUCGCCUGCAGAGCCUUCUCCGAGCCGCCGUUGCCUCUUCUCGACUCGCUGUGAGCCCCGCCGUCGAACCCCCCCCUCCCCUAGCUCGAAUUCUUCCUCCAACACCGUCGCCGUCGCGGCCAAGAGCUCGGCUCCGCCGUUCAUGUCGCCGUCGUGGCCACAGCUGCCACAACUCACAACCGAGCUCACCGCCGUUCUCAAUGCCCUCCCGCGCGUCGUUUCCACCCAACCGCAGCCCCCCUAGUGCCCCGCAGCACCUAACCCGCAUGCACCCGACUCUGGCCGCCGCCGCGAGCUCUGCUCCGGCGAGCUCCGCCGUUCCCGCGGCCUCCCCUGAGCGCGGCUGGAUGCGCCCGUGCACGAGCUACCCGUCGGUGGCCUCCGUGUGCCAAACCAUGGCCUCCAUCUCGUUCCGGCGAACUUCCACCGUGGCUCGAGGUCGUCGCCGGCGAAACUCCAGCGGCUGACGUGGCGCGUGAUUAGCUGCUAACCCUGCCACUUAAUCCACCCCUAAGCCACUGACUAUGGCCCCCAGGGCUUGGUCAAACCCUGGUCAGCUGGGUUUGACUCGGGUUUAGCCCCGGUGUCACUGACGUGUGGCCCCCACACGUCAGGUUUGACCUGGUCAGCCCUGCUGACGCCUCUGUGAUGUCAUGCUGACGCAAUAAUGAUUUUUUUUGGAUUUAAAAUAAUUCAGAGAAUUCCAGAAAUUGAUAUAAACUUCAAAAAUUCAUAUAAAUUCAACCGUAGCUCAGAUUGAAAUAAUUUAUAUAUGAAAAAUUAUCAGAAAAAUUCAAUCUAUCCAUCUGUACCUGUUUCAUGCAUGUCUAACCAACUUGUUCAUUCCGAUACAAUCCUACUCUCUUGCUCCUGCUCUCAUUUAUUGCAUUAGGACAACAACAAUUCAACUGCUACUUUAUGCUGCGGUAGUUGAACCCAUUCCUCUGCAUGACCUGUCAUUGCCAUAGUAAAUAGUUAAAACCCACUAGCAUGUGUAGGAGUUGAUUGAGCCAUGUUGUGUUCUUGCCAUGCCAUGCCUGCUAUUGCUUAGAGUUGUGUCAGGUCUGAUUCAUCGGGAAUGAAUUGGAGUGGUACGAUAUGUUCUGGUGCUGAGAGUUAAGCGUGUGAACACGAUUUGGUAAAGGUAGCAGUGAGAGGCCAUGUAGGAGUACAUGGUGGGUUGUCUCAUUAGAACUGUCCUUAAGCACUGAGUUCCGUGUAUGUUGUCCAAUGGCUAGCUACUACCACACAUUGGAAUGCUUAAGUGCCCCUCUCGACUUAUUAGCUAACUUGAUAAUAGUUUCUAGUGUUUGUAGGUAGUGUUAGUAGUCUACCAAGUGACACCCGGCCAGGUGGGCUUGAGACAGACUAGGCACAAGUGGCACGGUGUACCAAGCGUAGAUCCAUCUGGCGAGGUGGGCUUGGGAACCCUGCACAUAUCGUUUGGGGCCGUGAGCGACACCCCGGUCAGAUCUCCUUGUGGAUGGAACCCGAAUAGGCGAUAAACAUGGACUAGAGUCUUGUGUGGUUAGUCAGUUCGUGGCUGACACCCUCGCCAGGCUUCCGCUUGAAGGUUGCCGAGAUACAUGACGUGUACAUGGUGAUAAGUGGUGAGAGCGUGUGUGAAGAAGUACACCCCUGCAGGGUUAUCAUGAUCUAUUCAAAUAGCCGUGUCCUCGGUUAUGGACUUCUUGGAUGCUUACGUGGUACAUAGACAACUUAAAAUGGAUACCCUAAAAUGCUCAAGACAAGUGUGAGUGCUAUGGAUGGCCUUCUCGUAAGGAGACGAGGAUGAAUCCAUAGUAGUGUAUUUGAUGUGGUGUUUAGUGGACUCGUGUGCGCUGCCUCACCUCAAAGAAGUUCCUCGUUGUCGUAGAACAGGAUAGCCACUGAGUCAAAGCUGGCUUGCUGCAACUAAACCCCACAUUACCUUCUUGAUACAAAUGCAUGUAUGAUAGGAUCUGAUGUAAGUCUUGCUGAGUACCUUUGUACUCACGUUUGCUUUAUUUAUGUUUUGCAGGUGAGACAUCUGUCUCACUAGUAGUACCGCUUGGACUUCGACGAGUAGCUUGUUACCUCAGCUACGAUCUUGUACCCUUGGGAGGGACUUGUAGAUAGUUAGGCUUCUUAGCCUUUUUCUUUUGUAGUUGUCUGUACUCAGACAUGUAAUGCUUCCGUUGCUUGUAUGCUCUGAAUGAUGGGUCAUGUGACCCCUGUUUGUAUUAAUGCUAUGUGGCUCUUCUGGGCCUUAGCUAUAUGAGUUGCGUUAUGUUGUGAUGCCAUGUUGUACAACACAUACUUGCAUGUUAUGCGUACGUGUGACGUGUAUUGCUAUGCGUGGGAUCCGACAAUCUAGUUGUUUAUCCUUGGCAGCCUCUCUUAUGGGGAAAUGUAGUCUAAUGCUUCUUUGAGCCAUAGUAGUCCGCUACAGCCCAGUUCACUUGAGUCCUGCUAGCCCAGCACUACUUCUUAGGACACUUGACUGGCCGGUAUGUGUUUCAUUUCAUUCCUGUGUCUGUCCCUUCAGGGAAAUGUCACGCGGUGACCUCCGGAGUCCUGUUAGCCCAGUGCUACAGCCCGGAUUCACACGCUGCUGACCGACAUGCUUGAUGUGAAUCAUGUAUGCCUGUCCCCAUAGGUUAGUGCCGCUUUGGGUUCACGACUAGCCAUGUCGGCCCGGGUUCUCUAUCAUAUGGAUGCUAGUGACACAAUCAUAUACGUGAGCCAAAAGGCGCAAACAGUCCCGGGCCAGGGUAAGGCGACACCCGUGGGAAUACCAUUCGUGAGGCCACAAAGUGAUAUGAGGUGUUACCGGCUAGAUUGAUGUGACUUGGGAUCGGGGUCCCGACAGCUUUGGUAUCAGAGCCUGACUGCCUGUAGGGUUUCCAAGCCAACCUGGUCGAAGUUGAGUCUGGAAACUCUUUAGUUAUUUAAGGGAAUUGAUUGUGGAAGGGAACGUAAGGCUCUUUUUACUCCUUUCACCUCUUGGCCUUCUGAUCUGAGUCAUACUAUCUUUCCUACGGGGUUAGGGAACUAGGCUUCCUCUUCUGUCUAUCAGGAUCAUGUGUUACUACUCCGUAGUCCCAUAGGAUUGGUUGAUCAGAGUCAUAUUCCAGUUUUCAAGUACUUCCGGUGUAGUCUGCUUAGUAAUAUCUCAGAACCCUGAGUGAUGAUGUUGAGUUUGGUGCUACCCCGUCCUUGCAGAAUGUUUCAUUUUGAGCAUUCUACUGCCAUUAUGCUGCCGGAAUUAUCCUAGGAGUUCAAGAGAUAGUAUUUUCCUUGUACUAUAUUCUACAUCCUUAUGAUGAUGCUGAAUCCAUCCUUUUUUUCCUUGGUUUCGUUCUUCAGGAUGUUGUCGGUUAACCGAAAUUCUGUUGCUCGUAGCCGGAACCACGGAGAUGGUAGGGAUGAGAAUCCUCCCGAUCAGUCUUCGUUGGCAAAGUUCAUGUUAGAAGUUGAGAUGAACAAGCGUGAGACCAACCGCUUAUUAGCAUGUAUCGAGGAGAACACCGCACCCCAGUGCAAGGAGUCAGCGACCAUUUAUGAUUUCAUUGGUCUGAAACCACCUACCUUCCAUCAUUCCAUCGAACAACUCGAUGCAGAUGACUGGCUUCGUAGUAUCACUCAGAAGCCGCGUUCUGCGAACGUAGUUGAAGGUGACAAGGUCACCUAUGCUGCAUAUCACCUGGAAGGUCCUGCUAGUCUUUGGUGGCAGAACUAUGAGGCUAUGCUUCUAGCCGGCCAGAUAACCACCUGGAGAGAUUUCACCGAGGCCUUUCGCGAGCAUCACAUUCCUCAGGCUCUCAUUGACUGUAAGAGAGAAGAGUUCUGUAGUUUCACCCAGAGUAAGAUGGCUGUUGAUGCUUACAGUAGGGAAUUUGAGAACCUUGCCCACUAUGCUACACAAGAGGUGUCCACAGACGCCAAGAAGCAGGCUAGGUUCCGGAAGGGUCUCAACCCCAAGUUGCGUCAUGAUCUCCACUUGCACCAUUGCAAUACAUUCCAGGCUCUUGUGAAUAAGGCCAUUAAUGCAGAGACAGCUCAACUCACUUACAAGGAGUCUCGUAAGCACACCCGUGAUUUGGGUUCUUCCUCUGGUUAUAGUUCUCAGAAGCGCCGGAUUUGGGUUCCGAACUCCGCUCUUCCACCCGGUUAUACACCAAGGCCUUCUUGUGUGGCACCUCACCCAGUUCAACCAUAUGCUACACCCAUGCCUAUUGGUAGACCACUUGUCAAUGCAGGUCCUUGUCCUACCUCCAAGAAUUGUUACAAGUGCGGAGAGCCAGGCCACAUUGCCCAUAUUUGCACUCAGACCCGUGUUGCUCCACCCCAGCCCGAGAAGUCUAUUGGCCGUGGUAGUAAGCCAUCACGCAAGAUGACCAGUACAAAGUCAGCUCCCACUAAACUUGGACGUGUGCAUCACGUCUCAGCUAAAGACGCUCAUGAUGAUCCAGGUGUCGUUCUUGGCACACUCCUUGUCAACUGUCAUCCAGCUUCGGUUCUAUUCGAUACUGGAGCAUCUCACUCCUUCAUUUCCGAAAGUUAUGCCCGCUUGCACGACAUGUCAUUUUGUGAUAUGCCCUCCCCACUACUCAUUCAAACUCCUGGAUCCAAGUGGCAAACUUCUAGGAUAAGUUAUGGCAAUGAAAUACAUGUUGACAGACUUGUAUUCCUAGCUUCCUUGAUAUCCCUUAAGUCUUCAGAUAUUAACAUCAUCUUGGGUAUGUACUGGAUGAAAGCUCAUUAUGCCAAGAUUGACUGUUACACCAGGUCUGUUCAGCUCACACACCCCUCUGGCAAGAUAGUCACUGUCUCCACCAAAAUUGCAAAGCGUCAACUCUAUUCUCUAAAUGCCAGCCCUCUUCCUGACCUUGAAGAUAUCCCGGUAGUCCACGACUUUUCGGAUGUCUUUCCAGAGGAACUGCCAGGUAUUCCAUCUGACAGAGAUGUAGAGUUUGUCAUAGAUCUUAUCCCCGGAACCGCCCCAAUUUCUAGGAGACCUUACAAGAUGGCACCCUUAGAGCUAGCCGAGCUUAAGAAACAACUUGAUGAGUCCUUGCAAAAGGGUUUCAUCCGUCCUAGUUCUUCUCCCUGGGCUUGCCCCAUCCUCUUUGUCAAGAAGAAGGAUGGUACGGACUGGAUGGUUGUAGAUUAUCGCCCCGUUAAUUUGGUCACGAUAAAUAACAAGUAUCCGCUCCCCAGGAUCAACGAUCUGUAUGAUCAGCUCGCUGGAUCCUCAGUCUUCUGCAAGAUGGAUUUGAGGUUAGGCUACCACCAAAUCAAGAUCAGAAACAGGGACAUUCCUAAAACGGCUUUUGUCACUCAUUAUGGUCAGUACAAGUACACCGUCAUGUCCUUUGGUCUAACCAAUGCUCCAGCUACAUUCUCUCGCUUGAUGAACUCGAUCUUCAUGGAGUACUUAGAUAAGUUCGUCGUGGUUUACCUCGAUGAUAUUCUUAUUUACUCGAAGAAUGAGGAAGAGCGAACAUAUUAGACUUGUGUUAGAAAAACUCAGAGAACACCGCCUUUAUGCCAAGUUCUCCAAGUGCGAAUUUUGGUUGCCAGAAGUGACCUAUCUCGGCCACAUAAUCUAUGGUAAGGGCAUUGCUGUCAAUCCCGAGAGAGUUCAAGCCAUUCUUGAUUGGACUCCACCUAAAACGGUUAAGCAAGUUAGGAUUUUCCUUGGCCUAGCCAGUUAUUGUCGCCACUUCGUUGAUAACUUCUCCAAAGUGGCCAAACCUCUCACGGAACUUCUCAAGAAAGAUAAAAAGUUUGAGUGGUCCCCACAAUGCGAGUACAGCUUUCAGGAACUGAAAAGACGCCUAACUUCUGCUCCCAUACUUGUGCCACCGGAUUUCACUAAGGACUUUGUUAUCUAUUGUGAUGCCUCACGACAGGGACUAGGUUGCAUUCUUAUGCAAGAUCGUCAUGUGAUUGCCUAUGCAUCUCGACAGUUGCAUCCACAUGAGGAGAAUUAUCCUACACAUGAUCUAGAGCUUGCAGCGUAGUCUAUGCACUUAAGACAUGGAGACAUUACCUUCUCGGUAAACGUUGCGAGAUAUACACCGACCACUAGAGUCUCAAGUAUAUCUUCACCCAACCAUAUUUGAACCUUAGGCAAAGAAGUUGGUUGGAGUUUAUCUUAGAUUACGACUUAGGAAUUACCUACACCCCAGGCAAGGGGAAUGUCAUGGCUGAUGCGCUAAGUCGUAAGUCCUAUUGCAACAAUCUCAUGUUGCAACAGGGCCAGCCACUUCUCCAUGAGGAAUUAUGUAAGCUUAACCUUCACAUUUCUCCUCACGGAUUCCUUUCUACCUUGGUGGCGAAACCUACCCUUGAGGAUCAGAUCAUUACCGAUCAGAAGUUUGAUAGGGGUGUUAUUCGCAUCAAGAGAAACAUUAGGAAGGGAGUUGGUGGAUGUUUCUCUAUGGAUGAUCGAGGUGUUGUUUUCUUUGAGAAUCGCUUGGUGGUUCCCAAGAAUCAACAUCUGCGACAACUAAUUCUUAAGGAGGCCCAUGAAUCUCCUUUCACAAUUCAUCCCGGUAGUACUAAGAUGUAUCAGGACCUGCGCCAGAGGUUUGGUGGACUAGGAUGAAGAGAGAAAUUGCUCAGUUUAUUGCUAACUGCGAUGUUUGUCGUCGUGUUAAGGCAGAGCAUCAAAGACCUGCUGGCACCCUUCAGCCUUUAGCUAUUUCUGAAUGGAAAUGGGAUAAAGUUGGUAUGGACUUCAUCACCGGCUUUCCCAGGACCAAGAGAGGGAAUAAUGCUAUCUUCGUAGUCAUUGAUCGUCUUUCCAAAGUUUCUCACUUCCUACCUGUUCGAGAGAGUAUCACUGCUAGUCAGCUCACUGACUUAUAUAUUUCUCGAAUAGUGUCACUUCAUGGUGUUCCACUAGAGAUCAAUUCAGACCGUGGUAGUCUUUUCACUUCUCAUUUCUGGGAGAGUUUCCAAACUGCCAUGGGCACCCAUCUUUCCUUCAGUACCGCUUUCCACCCUCAAUCAAGUGGUCAGGUGGAAAGGGUCAACCAAAUCCUCGAAGACAUGCUUAGAGCUUGCGUUAUCUCAUUUGGUAUGGAUUGGGAGAAGUGCCUUCCUUUCACUGAGUUUGCUUAUAACAAUAGCUACCAAUCCAGUCUCAAGAAAGCUCCUUUUGAGAUUCUGUAUGGACGAAGAUGUCGAACACCUUUGAACUGGUCAAAAACUGGUGAAAGACAAUUCUUUGGACCGGAUAUGAUCCAGGAGGCAGAAGAGCAAGUUCGCAUCAUUCGUGAGAAUUUGAAAACAACCCAAUCUCGUCAAAAGAGCCAGUAUGACCGUCGUCAUAAGGAAGUGGCUUAUGAAGUUGGCGACAAGGCUUACCUUCGGGUUACCCCUUUGAAGGGUACCCAUCAUUUCGGUAUCAAGGGCAAGUUGGCUCCUCGUUACAUUGGUCCUUUUCUCAUUCUCGCUAAACGAGGAGAGGUUGCCUACCAGUUGGAACUACCCCCACAUAUUUCCCGAGUUCAUGAUGUCUUCCACGUCUCUCAACUCAGGCGUUGCUUCUCGGAUCCCAUCCACGGAGUGGACCACGAAACGCUUGAUGUCCAAGAUAACCUCACAUAUCGAGAGUACCCCGUCCACAUUCUGGAUCAAGCAGAGCGUGUCACUCGACGUCAUAACAUCAAGUUUCUCAAGGUUCAGUGGUCUCAUCAUUUCGAGAGCGAAGCUACCUGGGAGCGUGAAGAUCGUCUUCGACUUGAGUACCCCGCUUUCUUUCCACCAACUCCUGAAUCUCGAGAUGAGAUUUUUUCGAGUGGGGGCGAGUUGUCACAUCCCUAGUUCUGGUAUGACCUAGACCAGCUAGUCAAUUGUGCAUCAUGUUCAAAUUCCAUUUAAAUUUGAAAUGGGGAUUUGUGAAACCCUCAGAAUCAUUUCUGGAAAUAACCCAGAUAAAAAUUGCUCCAAAAAGGUCCAAGAAAAUGUUCAUGUAGCUCUCUAAAAAUAUUGGUUAGAGGUAAAAUUCAAACAAAUAUUUUCAGGAGCUCAUAAAUAUUUAUUUUGGCCAUUUGGAAUUAAUGCAAUAAUUAUUUGCAUUGGAUAUAUAUAUAUAUAUAUAUAUAUAUAUGAUAUAUUUAUUUAUAUAUGUCCAACAAUUCUGAUUUUUAUGUGAGGGGCUCUAGAAUACUUCAACUAGCCCCUACAAUAAAUUUCAGAAGAAAAUAAAUUGAUUUAGUAUUUAUUAAAUCAAAACAAAUGUCAGAAAAUAGAAAACGAAACAAAAAUAGAGAAGAAAAUUACCUGCGGCCAGCUCCUGUGCUGGCCUAGCACUGUGCGGCCUGGCCGGCCCAGUUGGCCAGCCCAGCCCACCUGCCCCCCUCCCCUGUCGUCUUCCUCCCGCCAGGAGGACGCGCGCGUGGCCGCCACGCGCGAGCACACGUCGGCCACCUCCUGCUUCCCUGCUCGCCGCUGGAGGCAUCCGAGGGCGACACGCACCCCCCGACCCCCCUCGUCCACUCCCCUCCCCUCUGGUCGCCCCUCUCCUCCUCUGCUCUCUUCCCCGCUGCUGCCCAAGCGCCACCAUCGCCACCGACGCCGUUUGACACGCCCACUGUAGUCCCCUCGCCCCUCCGUCGUGCCCAAAAGCUCCACCACCUCGUCCUCUACCUCUCCGUCACGCCACGCAUUGCCGGACGCCCUGUGGAGCCGCCUCCACCGUCAUCUUCAACCUCGUCCGCCGUGGAUCUCCACCGCCCGUCCGUCGCCUGCAGAGCCUUCUCCGAGCCGCCGUAGCCUCUGCUCGACUCGCUGUGAGCCCCACCGUCGAACCCCCUCUCCCCUAGCUCGAAUUCUUCCUCCAACACCGUUGCCGUCGCGGCCGAGAGCUCGGCUCCGCCGUUCAUGUCGCCGUCGUGGCCACAGCUGCCACAGCUCACAACCGAGCUCACCGUCGUUCUCAAUGCCCUCCCGCGCGUCGUUUGCACCCAACCGCAGCCCCCCUAGUGCACUGCAACACCUAACCCGCACGCACCCGACGCUGGCUGCCGCCGCGAGCUCUGCUCUGGCUAGCUCGGCCGUUCCCGCGGCCUCCCCUAAGCGUGGCUGGAUGUGCCCGUGCACGGGCUACCCGCCGGUGGGCUCCGUGUGCCAAACCAUGGCCUCCAGCUCGUUCCGGCGAACUUCCGCCGUGGCUCGAGGUUGUCGUCGGCGAAACUCCGGCGCCUGAUGUGGUGCGUGAUUAGCUGCUAACCCUGCCACUUAAUCCACCCCUAAGCCACUGACUAUGGGCCCCAGGGCUCGGUCAAACCCUGGUCAGCUGGGUUUGACUCGGGUUUAGCCCCAGUGUCACUGACGUGUGGCCCCCACACGUCAGGUUUGACCUGGUCAGCCCUGCUAACGCCUUUGUGACGUCAUGCUGACGCAAUAAUGAUUUUUUCUGGAUUUUAAAUAAUUCAGAGAAUUCCAAAAAUUGAUAUAAACUUAAAAAAUUCAUAUAAAUUCAACUGUAGCUCAGAUUGAAAUAAUUUAUAUAUGAAAAAUUAUCAGAAAAAUUCAAUCUAUCCAUCUGUACCUGUUUCAUGCAUGUCUAACCAACUUAUACUUGCUGUAUAGGUGAAAACAUAUAAAUGGCAUUUAUAAAGAUUUAAUUUAGAGUUGCAUUUGAACCUUUGGUUCAAAUGGACCUCUUCCAAAUAGAAUGCUAAAUGCAUUAGCUCAAAGCACAUCACAUACUCAUGCCAUGAUCAUGCAUCAUAUUGUUGCAUAUGCUUGUGUUUGAUUAUCGACACCGUUCCUUCUCGAUAGCUCCUGCUCCGGAGACCCUUCUAGAGCACCUCUCUGAGGAGCAGUGCCUUCCUUGUUGAUCUACCAGGCAAGCAAACCCCCUUGUUCAUUCCAAUACAAUCAUACUCUCUCGCUCCUGCUCUCAUUUAUUGCAUUAGGACAACAACGAUUCAACUGCUACUUUAUGCUGCGGUAGUUGAACCCAUUCCUCUGCAUGACCUGUCAUUGCCACAGUAAAUAGUUAAAACCCACUAGCAUGUGUAGGCGUUGAUUGAGCCAUGUUGUGUUCUUGUCAUGCCAUGCCUGCUAUUGCUUAGAGUUGUGUCAGGUCUGAUUCAUCGAGAAUGAAUUGGAGUGGUACGAUAUGUUCUGGUGCUGAGAGUUAAGCGUGUGAACAUGAUUUGGUAAAGGUAGCGGUGAGAGGCCAUGUAGGAGUACAUGGUGGGUUGUCUCAUUGGAACCGUCCUUGAGCAUUGAGUUCCAUGUAUGUUGUCCAAUGACUAGCUACUACCAUACAUUGGAAUGCUUAAGUGCCCCUCUCGACUUAUUAGCCAACUUGAUCUCUGUCCAGGAGUCGCAAAUAGUUUCUGGUGUUUGUAGGUAGUGUUAGUAGUCUACCAAGUGGCACCCGACCAGGUGGGCUUGGGACAGACUAGGCACAAGUGGCACGGUGUACCAAGCAUAGAUCCAUCCGGCGAGGUGGGCUUGGGAACCCUGCACAUAUCGUUUGGGGCCAUGAGCGACACCCCGGCCGGAUCUCCUUGCGGAUGGAUCCCGAAUAGGCGAUAAACCUGGACUAGAGUCUUGUGUGGUUAGUCAGGUCGUGGCCGACACCCUCGCCAGGCUUCCGCUUGAAGGUUGCCGAGAUACAUGACGUGUACAUGGUGAUAAGUGGUGAGAGUGUGUGUGAAGAAGUACACCCCUUCAGGGUUAUCAUGAUCUAUUCGAAUAGUCGUGUCCUCGGUUAUGGACUUCUUGGAUGCUUACGUGGUACAUAGACAACUUAAAGUGGAUACCCUAAAAUGCUCAAGACAAGUCUGAGUUCUAUGGAUGGCCUUCUCGUAAGGAGACAAGGACGAAUCCAUAGUAGUGUAUUUGAUGUGGUGUUUAGUGGACUCGUGUGCACUGCCUCAGCUCAAAGAAGUUUCUCAUUGUCGUAGAACAGGAUAGCCACUGAGUCAAAGCUGGCUUGCUGCAACUAAACCCCACAUUACCUUCUUGAUACAAAUGCAUGUAUGAUAGGAUCUGAUGUAAGUCUUGCUGAGUACCUUUGUACUCACGUUUGCUUUAUUUAUGUUUUGCAGGUGAGACAUCUGUCUUACUAGUAGUACCGCUCGGACUUCGACGAGUAGCUUGUUACCUCAGCUAUGAUCUUGUACCCUUGGGAGGGACUUGAAGAUAGUCAGGCUUCUUAGCCUUUUUCUUUUGUAGUUGUCUGUACUCAGACAUGUAAUGCUUCCGUUGCUUGUAUGCUCUGAAUGAUGGGUCAUGUGACCCUUGUUUGUAUUAAUGCUAUGUGGCUCUUCUGGGCCUUAGCUAUAUGAGUUGUGUUAUGUUGUGAUGCCAUGUUGUAUAGCACAUACUUGCAUGUUAUGCGUAUGUGUGACAUGUAUUGCUAUGUGUGGGAUCCGACAAUCUAGUUGUUUAUCCUUGGCAGCCUCUCUUAUGGGGAAAUGUAGUCUAAUGCUUCUUUGAGCCAUAGUAGUCUACUACAGCCUGGUUCACCAGAGUCCUGCUAGCCCAACACUACUGCUCAGGACACUUGACUAGCCGGCAUGUGUUUCAUUUCGUUCCUGUGUCUGUCCCUUCGGGGAAAUGUCACACGGUGACCUCCGGACUCCUGUUAGCCCAGUGCUACAGCCCGGAUUCACACACUGCUGACCGACAUGCUCAAUGUGAAUCAUGUAUGCCUGUCCCCAUAGGUUAGUGCCGCUUUGGGUUCACGACUAGCCAUGUCGGCCCGGGUUCUUUGCCAUAUGGAUGCUAGUGACACAAUCAUAUACGUGAGCCAAAAGGUGCAAACGGUCCCGGGCCAGGGUAAGGCGACACCCGUGGGAAUACCGUGCAUGAGGCCGCAAAGUGAUAUGAGGUGUUACCGACUGGAUCGAUGUGACUUGGGAUCGGGGUCCCGACAAAACCUCCGGUAGUAUCCUGCGAGUCCAAGAAAACUCCGGAUCUCUCCAACUAUUGUUGGCGCUUCCCACUUGGUCACGGUAUCAACUUUAGUGGGAUCUACUGCUAUACCUUCUCUGGAUAUAACGUGUGCGAGAAAUCCAACUUCUUUCAACCAAAACUCACAUUUGCUAAACUUGGCAUAUAAUUGAUGUUCUCUGAGCUUCCCAAGAACCAAACGCAAAUGGUCCUUAUGCUCCUCUUCAUUCUUCGAGUAAACCAGGAUAUCAUCAAUGAACACUACGACGAACUUAUCCAAGAACUCCAUAAACACUUUGUUCAUCAUGUUCAUAAAAUAUGCAGGUGCGUUAGUCAUACCAAAUGACAUAACAGUAUACUCGUACAGCCCAUACCUGGUGGUGAAAGCCGUCUUAGGUAUAUCCUGUUCUUGAAUCUUCAACUGGUGGUAUCCUGAUCGCAGAUCGAUCUUGGAAAAUACCUUAGCUCCUUGCAAUCGAUCGAACAGAUCAUUGAUCAUCGGUAGUGGGUACUUGUUCUUGAUGGUUACUUCAUUCAAUCCUCGAUAAUCCACAACCAUCCUUAACGAUCCAUCCUUCUUCUCCACUAAUACUUCAAUUUCCUCUUCAUAAUCUUCACAUGUAGCCUUGAGUUCUUCCUCCAGUCCCUUGAUUCUUGUCUUCGCCUUCUUCAGAUCUAUCAUGUUGGCGCACAUCUGGUUCUCCUAUCGUCGAAUGUGCUGGUUUAACUCCUGGAUAAAAGCUGCGACUGAUCUAUCCUUUAUGGUGCUAAUCAUCUCCCAGUGCUCAUCUCGGCACCCACAAAUCUGGUAGAUUGUAUCCUUGAGAUCAUUGCGGUAGACUUCUCCAAUGCGUCCCAUGGCGAUGUGAGCUGCCAUGCUCUUUCCUAGACUCCAAGUUGGUGCAUCAAAAGAAAACUCUAUGGGCUCAGUGAUUGGCAUGAACGUCCUUCCUGGAACUUGAACUUGAAUCAUCCAGCACUAUUCUUCAGGUAAAGUGGCGUUGUACGUUCCGGUGAAGCUUGGUACUCCAAUGUUCAGGUAUCUAGUGACUUCCUUCAAGUGACGUCCAAAGGGUGCAUCUUCAUCCAGUUGCUUGAACUUGUUCCUUGCAUUCGCCAUCUUAAAAGAGUAGAAAAGAUGAGAAGUCAGAAAGAGAAGAGAGUGAGUAGUGAUCUAGGUCUUUAGCUUAAUGGUCGUGUCCUACAGUCAGCGUGUGCUCUGAUACCAUCUUGUAGCGACCAGACCUCAAACGGUCUAAUCUCUAUGCUCAGGUGUCAUCCCUGGAUCAGUAAUGCUGACACCACAUAGUACUUGAAGGAUUUAUAACAGAGUAGCAAUCACACACUUAUUACAUCGAGUGUCUCAAAAGAGAACUUAUUACAAUAAAUAUGGCUUAAGGCCAUCUAAUAACAAUAACGGAGGAAGGCUUGGAAGAUAAGUGAGUCCAUCAACUCCAACGGCAUCACUGAGUAUAGAACCACGACCUAAAAACACCUUAAUCGUCGUGUGAAAAGUCUGCAACAUUAACCUUGCAGCCCGAAAUGGGUCAGCACAUGGAAUAUGCUGGCAAAAUAACACAUAGAGAGUAAUGGAAAGAAAUAGACUAUUCUAUAUGCAUAUUUGGCUGGUGGAAAGCUCUAUGGUUACAGUUUUGCGUAAAGCCAAUUUUCCCCUACUGCAAAGGAUUAAAUUUUAUUUAACUAUCAUGGUAGUUGUUAAACAUUGAGAAUGGUUGACAACAUUCUCAAUCCCAAUUAAGCAUCAUCAUUAAACAAAACCCAACAAAAUUAAUUUUUGAGUAACAUGUUGAGAUUCACAUGAUAAUCCAGGUACUAGAUACUCAAGAUGUCCAUAACCGGGGACACGGCUAAUCAUGAUUAGUUUAUACACUCUGCAGAGGUUUGUAAAUUUUUCCCCACAAGACUCGAUCGCCUCCGUUUGGUUUCUCGCACUACUUGGUGUUUGAGAAGACGGAUGACCGAGACAUAGUCUUUCAGAAGCGCUAGCACCUUACGAUCGGGUAGACCAUUACACCUACUUUCCCCUACAUCUGCUAGUCUACCACUGUAAGAGUUCGCACAACCUAAUCAACUAUGAUAGAGUCCAUAAUAGCUUGUGGCCGCACAGGGAAGUUUCUAGCAUGAAUAAUCUCAUGAUCCCUUUGAGCCUGGGUGGCGGUCCAAAAGAAAAUAGGCAAUCGCUGGAAUACCCAGGUGCCUCAAUCCACCCAGAUGUGUGUUUAAGUUGCCACCUUAAAUAAACCAUUAAUUAACAAUCUCACAUCUGUCAUGGAUAUACUCACCCAAUCCACAUCUAGUAGCAUAGCAUGGCAUAAUAAGCAAACAUAGAAGUAACUCCCAAAGGUUUGAUAAUAACAGGUAAUAGGUACUACCUCAACUACUUCCCAAACCCACAAUUUAAUUAGAUCCUAAUCAUGCAAUGUGUGAGGAUUGAUCUAAUGCAGUAAAACUGGGUAGAGGGAAAGCAUGAUCAAAGUGUUACUUGCCUUGCUGAUGAUCCGGAAAACCUAGCGAUUCAAAGUAGCAAGCGGCGCACUUCGGGUACUCUAUCGCAAACAAAAAAGAUUACAAUAAGUACUCAACUAAUGCACAAGUAAAACUCAAAUAAGAGAUCUAACCAGAAAGUUCAACUUAAGAACUCCGAUUGGCAAAAAGAAUCAAAUCGAACGAAGCAACGAAAGACAAACGGCAAAAGAAACAGGCUUCGUUUACUAUUCUGGAUCUAGGGCAAUUUUUACAGUGGGAAAAACUUGUUUAAGUUGGCUAAACGGAAAGAGGGUUUCGAGAUGAAACUCCAGGCGCUUGAAUCGCCUGAUUCCGAUAAACGAACGAAAAGUUAGACUAAAACGAAAAUCGGAUCAGAAAUCGCGAUUAGAAAAAUCAGGGAUUUAAUCCGAGAAAAAGAAAAACGAUGAACGUUCGUUAAAAUGAACGAAUGGACGAACGCUCGCAAAAUAAAUAAACCGGAAAAACCGAUCUAUUAAAAAAACCAAAACUAAACAAAAAAACGAACAAAACCGUCGGAAAAACCGAACGGUUUUUCGAAAAAAACCGGCGACGGCGAGACAACCUCCGGCGGUGGCGAUGUCGGCAGCUGCUAGGGUUAGGGUUUAGGGGGGGGGGGGCGCGGCUUGGGCUUUGGCAGGGCCUCGGGGCGCUAUAAAAAGGCCCGACCAGGAGGAGUCCUGGCCGGUUACGGCCCAAGGUCGGUUCGGACUUUUUUUUAAAAUAAUUACGCUCGGAAAAAAACAAAAGGAAUACUAAACGGAUUCCAGAAAUUGCAAAAUAAAUUUUCCCCGGCUUCUAAAAUCAAGCCACACAGGAUGAACAUUUAUUUGGGGCCUAAAUGAAAUUUUGAAAAACGCGCAUUUUUCCUAAAUUCAAAUAAAAUAGCAAAUAAAACCAAAUAAAAUAUUAUUUGAUUUUUAUUAAAUCCCCAAUAUUUCUUUAUUUUGGGAAAGUCAUUUUAUUCCCUCUCUCAUAAUUUUUAUAAUAGAAAUAAUUGAAGAUAAAAUAAAUAAAAUCAAAUGAUCCUAUUUUCAAAAUUUGAGAUAACUCAAAUAUGAAAAUAACAAAAUCCCCAACUCUCUUCGAGGGUCCUUGAGUUGCGUGAAAUUUCUAGGAUCAGCCAAAAUGCAAUAAAUAUGAUAUGCAAUGAUGAUCUAGUGUAUAACAUUCCAAAUUAAAAAUUUGGGAUGUUACACGUAGAUCUUGGAGAAGGCCGAGGACGCCUCCCCCUCCUUGAGCCAGCGUAAACGAAGCCGUUGGCGCACGAUGUAGCGGUGGAGGGACGCAAGGCCGAGGUAUUGGCGUUUGAGCUCGCGACGGAGCCAGGCCUCGGCGGUAGAAAGGGGGCGCGAGUCUUGGGCAGCGUCAAAACGCGCAAUGAGCUCUCUGGCAACACCAAGCUAAGUGUAGAUACUGUUAGUGGUCCACGAGCUCCAUCUCUGAAGACCGCACGUUGUGGCUUUUAAGCGUGCGAAGUAGCACCGAAAGGGGUCUGGGUCUGGAGCUACCGAAGCCCAUGCCUCGUCGACGGCGUGCUGAAAUCCAUCUAAUCCCGGCCAGAACCUUUGGAAGUGAAAGAGUCUGCCUCCGGCAGAGCGGACGGCGCAAUCGAUGAGCAAAGGGCAGUGGUUAGAGGCCGCAGAAGAAAGGCAUCGCAAGAAUGAGCAAAGGGCAGUGGUUAGAGGCCGCAGAAGAAAGGCAUCGCAAGAGGCGGUGGGUGUGUGCAGUUUCCCAAGAAGGGGUGCAAAGGACACGAUUGUUGCGAACAAGGGUAGGGUUCGCUUGCUCAUUGGACCAAGUAUAUCGUUUGCCAUGCAUUUAGAUAUCGUAAAGCCCAUGAUCGGUGAUGAAGCGGCGAAAGCGGUUCAUCGUUCUGCGGGAUACACGAUCAUUAUUCUUAUCAGCUAGUGAGGUGAUCAUAUUAAAGUCACCACCUAUGAGCCAGGGGCCAGAGAUGCUUGAGCGGAGGUCGUGGAGCUCAGAGAGGAAAACCAGCUUCGCGUCGUCUCCCUGGGGGCCGUAUACGCCAGUCACCCACUGAUAACCCACAAGUAUAGGGGAUCGCAACAGUUUUCGAUAAGUAAGAGUGUCGAACCCAACGAGGAGCUAAAGGUAGAACAAAUAUUCCCUCAAGUUCUAUCGACCACCGAUACAACUCUACGCACGCUUGACGUUCGCUUUACUAGAACAAGUACGAAACUAGAAGUACUUUGUAGGUGUUUUCGAAAAGGCUUGCAAGAAAGUAAAGAGCACGAAAAUAAAACUAAGGGGUUGUUAAGGUAAAGAAGCAACUAAAGUAAAUAUAGCGAGUGUGGAAAAGUGGUGGUAGGAGUUGCGAAAUUGUCCCUUAAGCAAUUGACUACUUUACUACACCGAUAGCAAGUAUUAUGUGGGAGAGGCCAUUGCUAGCAUGUCAUCCCUUACUUGGAAUUCUAUGCACUUAUGAUUGGAACUAUUAGCAAGCAUCCGCAACUACUAAUGUUCAUUAAGGUAAACCCAACCAUAGCAUUAAGAUAUAUUGGUCCCCCUUCAAUCCCGUAUGCAUCAAUUUCUAUGCUAGGUUGAAGCUUCUGUCAGUCUUGCCCUCCAAUACAUAGUCCUAUCAACAUACAACUAACCCUAUGGUGUGAUCCACUGAUACGUCUCCGUCGUAUCUAUAAUUUUUGAUUGUUCCAUGCCAAUAUUAUUCAACUUUCAUAUACUUUUUGGCAACUUUUUAUAUUAUUUUUGGGACUAACAUAUUGAUCCAGUGCCCAGUGCCAGUUCCUGUCUGUUGCAUGUUUUUGGUUUCGCAGAAUAUCCACAUCAAAAGGAGUCCAAACGGGAUAAAAAUGGAUGGAGCUUAUUUUUGUAAAAUAUGGAUAAUUCGGAAGGAAAAUCAACGCGAACCAGUGCCCGAGGUGGUCACGAGGCAGGGGGCGCCCCCCCUUAGGGCGCGCCCCCUACCCUCUUGAGCCCAUCGUAAGGCGGUUGACGCUCUUAUUUUGCUGCAAGAAAGCUAAUAUUCGGAAAAAAAGAAUCACGGCGAAGGUUUCAGGCCAAUCGGAGUUACGAAUCUCCAUAUAUAUAUGAAACAAUGAAACAGAGCCAGAACAGAACGCAGAAACAGAGAGAGACAGAGAGACAAAUCCAAUCUCGGAGGGGCUCUCGCCCCUCCCAUGCCAUGGAGGCCAAGGACCAGAGCGGAAACCCUUCUCCCAUCUAGGGAGGAGGUCAAGGAAGAAGAAGACGAAGGGGCCCCCUCUCCCCUUCUCUUCCGGUGGCCCCGGAACGCUGCCAUGGCCAUCAUCAUCACCGCGAUCUACACCAACACCUUCGCCAUCUUCACCAACAUCUCCAUCACCUUCCCCCUCUAUCUACAGCGGUCCACUCUCCCGCAACCCGCUGUACCCUCUACUUGAACAUGGUGCUUUAUGCUUCAUAUUAUUAUCCAAUGAUGUGUUGCCAUCCUAUGAUGUCUGAGUAGAUUUUCGUUGUCCUAUCGGUGGUUGAUGAAUUGCUAUGAUUGAUUUCAUUUGCUUGUGGUUAUGUUGCUGUCCUUUGGUGCCCGUCAUAUGAUUGCGCGCGUGGAUCACACCCUAGGGUUAGUUGUAUGUUGAUAGGACUAUGUAUUGGAGGGCAAGAGUGACAGAAGCUUCAACCUAGCAUAGAAAUUGAUGCAUACGGGAUUGAAGGGGGACCAAUAUACCUUAAUGCUAUGGUUGGGUUUUACCUUAAUGAACAUUAGUAGUUGAGGAUGCUUGCUAAUAGUUCCAAUCAUAAGUGCAUAGAAUUCCAAGUCAGGGAUGAAAGGCUAGGAGUGGCCUCUCCCACAUAAUACUUGCUAUCGGUCGAGUAAAGUAGUCAAUUGCUUAGGGGCAAUUUCGCAACUCCUACCACCACUUUUCCACACUCGCUAUAUUUACUUUAUUGUUUCUUUAUCUAAACAGCCCUUACUUUUUAUUUACGCACUCUUUAUUAACUUGCAAACCUAUCCAACAACACCUACAAAGUACUUCUAGUUUCAUACUUGUUCUAGGUAAAGCGAACGUCAAGCGUGCGUAGAGUUGUAUCGGUGGUCGAUAGAACUUGGGAAUAUUUGUUCUACCUUUAGCUCCUCGUUGGGUUCGGCACUCUUACUUAUCGAAAACUGUUGUGAUCCCCUAUACUUGUGGGUUAUCAAGACCAUUUUCUGGCGCCGUUGCCGGGGAGCAAUAGCGUGGGGUGAAUAUUCUCGUGUGUGCUUGUUUGCUUUAUCACUAAGUAAUUUUUAUUUGCUGUUCUUAGUUGUUCUUUAUCUUUAGUUAUGGAUAUGGAACACGAAAUACCAAAAAAAAUUAGGUGUACUUUCUACUCAUGGAGAUGGGGAACCUCCUAAAACCCUCGAUGCUGGUUAUGUGAAAGAUAUUAUGUACUACUUUAAUAAUCCUGAGAAAACCCCAUUCAAUUAUCUAAUGGGAGUAACGUUGGAUCAACGUGAAUACUUUAGGGAUUACCACUUGACACAAAAAGGGAAACUAUUAUGGGAUCAAAUUCAUAUAUUGAAGUGGUAUGCUAGACAACUAUGCUUGAGAUAUGAUUAUACUUGUUGCUCUAACAUGAAGGCUCCAUACCUUCCCUUUUCAUGCAAAUUUAAUGAUAAUAAGACCUUAGCUUCUUAUGCUAAUGGUAUAUAUGAUUACUAUGAUGUGGAACAAAUAGAAGAAUUUGUUGCUUUUAAGGGUGCUUAUGAAAUUGAAUCUAUGUUUAAAGAGUUUGAAGAUUUUGAUGAUGUUGUUUAUAGACCUGAAAAUUUUGCUAUCCUAAAAUAUUGUUAUGAGAACUAUGAAUACAAUUACGAAAUUAAUGCGCUUAUUAAGAAAGUCUCCGCUGUCCAAGAAGAGACUAAUAUUUUGCAGGAAUCUAUGGAAGAAGAAGUUGAUGAAACUGUGAGCUCAUUGGAUGAAAAAGAUGAGGAGGAGAGCGAAGAACAAAAGGAGGAAGAGCGGAUUAGCUACCCGGGCCCACCUUCUAAUGAGAGUAACUCUUCAACUCAUACAUUGUUUAAUUUCCCUUCGUGCUUACCGGAGGAUGAUUGCUAUGAUGAUUGUUAUGAUCCCGUUGAUUCUUUUGAAAUAUCCCUUUUUGAUGAUGCUUGCUAUGCUUGUGGCCAAGAUGCCAAUAUGAAUUCUAUUAUCUUUUUGAAUUCUCCCGACUACACUAUAUCGGAGAAGUUUGCCCUUAUUAAGGAUUAUAUUGAUGGGUUGCCUUUUACCGUUGCACAAGAUGAUUUUGAUGAAUAUAAUAUGCAUGUUCUUGCUGCUUCUACUUGCAAUUAUUAUGAGAGAGGAACUAUAUCUCCACCUCUCUAUGUUUCCAAUACAUUAAAAUUGCAAGAAACUGUUUAUACUAUGCAUUGGCCUUUACUUUGUGUGCAUGAAUUGUUCUUUUAUGACAUGCCGAUGCAUAGGAAGAGAGUUAGACUUCGUCAUUACAUGAUAUAUGUUACCUUGUGCUCACCACUAAAUUACAAGUUAUUGUUAAUUAAAAUUGGCUUUGAUAUACCUUGGGAUCCGGGUGGAUCCAUUACUUGAGCACUAUAUGCCUAGCUUAAUGGCUUUAAAGAAAGCGCUGCCAGGGAGACAACCCGGAAGUUUUAGAGAGUCAUUUAUUUCUGUUGAGUGCUUUUAUAUAGUUUAAAAACAACAAAAAUAAAGAGGGGAACCCAAAACUUUUUCAAAAAUGAAAGCGAAAGUGAGAAAGACAAGCAUUGUUGAAGUGGGAGCUAGCCUUGAACUUUGUUCAUGCUCAUGGAAACUUUGUGAAUCUUGAUUACAGAAACUUUUCAAUAAAAAUAAUUAUCCCCUUGUACAAUUCCAUUUUAUUAUAAAAAUAAUGUGCCAAGGUUUGCCUUUAGGAUGUUUACAUUUGCUUGAUGGUUUGUACGGUGCAGGACAGAAACUUUGGCUGUAGUGCGCGAUUUUACGUUUUUAGCUGGAACGUCAAAUGGUUCUGAUUCUUUUUGCAGUGUCUUCCUAUACAAUGUUUUUAUUUUUUCUAAUUUUGGUAGAAUUUUUCAAGUAUCAUAAGUAUGGUGAAUGUUCAGAUUAUUACAGACUGUUCUGUUUUAGACAGAUUCUGUUUUUGAUGCAUAGUUUGCUUGCUUUGAUGAAACUAUCAAUUUAUAUUAGUGGAUUAAGCCAUGAAAAAGUUAUAUUACAGUAGACACAAUGAAAAAACAAUAUAUGAAUUGGUUUGCAACAGUACUUAGAGUAGUGAUUUUCUUUAUUAUACUGAUGGAUCUUACCGAGUUUUCUGUUGAAGUUUUGUGUGGAUGAAGUGUUCGAUGAUUGAGAAGGUUUCGAUGUGAGAAGAAGGAAGAGAGGCAAGAGCUCAAGCUUGGGGAUGCCCGAGGCACCCCAAGUAAAUAUUCAAGGAGACUCAAGCAUCUAAGCUUGGGGAUGCUGGGAAGGCAUCCCCUCUUUCUUCAACAAGUAUCGGUAUGUUUUCGGAUUCGUUUCGUUCAUGCGAUAUGUGCAAUCUUGGAGCGUCUUUUGCAUUUAGUUUUCAUUUUUCUUUUAUGCACCAUGCUGGUAUCAGGUAUUCCUUGGUUGAUUUAUAGAAUGCUCAUUGCACUUCACUUAUAUCUUUUGAGUAUGGCUUUAUAGAAUGCUUCAUGUGCUUCACUUAUAUCAUUUGAAGCUUGGAUUGCCUGUUUCUCUUUACAUAUACAACCGCCAUUUGUAGAAUGCUCUUUUGCUUCACUUAGAUUUGUUAGAGCAUGGGCAUAUCUUUUGUAGAAAGAAUUAAACUCUCUUGCUUCACUUAUACCUAUUUAGAGAGAUGACAGGAAUUGGUCAUUAGUCAUAAAAUCCUACAUAAAACUUGUAGAUCACUGAAUAUGAUAUGUUUGAUUCCUUGCAAUAGUUUUGCGAUAUAAAGAUGGUGAUAUUAGAGUCAUGCUAGUGGAUAGUUGUGGAUUGUAGAAAUACUUGUGUUGAGGUUUGUGAUUCUCGUAGCAUGCACGUAUGGUGAACCGUUAUGUAACGAAGUCGGAGCAUGAUUUAUUUAUUGAUUGUCUUCCUUAUGAGUGGCGGUCGGGGACGAGCGAUGGUCUAUUCCUACCAAUCUAUCCCCCUAGGAGCAUGCACAUAGUACUUUGUUUCGAUGACUAAUAGAUUUUUGCAAUAAGUAUGUGAGUUCUUUAUGACUAAUGUUGAGUCCAUGGAUUAUAUGCACUCUCACCCUUCCACCGUUGCUAGCCUCUCUAGUACCGCGCAACUUUCGCCGGUACCAUAAACCCACCAUAUACCUUCCUCAAAACAGCCACCAUACCUACCUAUCAUGGCAUUUCCAUAGCCAUUCCGAGAUAUAUUGCCAUGCAACUUCCAUCAUCAUCAUAUACAUGACUUGAGCAUUCAUUGACAUAUUGCUUUGCAUGAUUGUAAGAUAGCUAGCAUGAUGUUUUCAUGGCUUGUCCGUUUUUUGAUGUCAUUGCUAUGCUAGAUCAUUGCACAUCGCGGUACACCGCCGGAGGCAUCCAUAUAGAGUCAUACUUUGUUCUAGACAAUGAGUUGUAAUAAUGAGUUGUAAGUAAAUAAAAGGGUAAUGAUCAUCAUUAUUAGAGCAUUGCCCCAGUGAGGAAAGGAUGAUGGAGACUAUGAUUCCCCCAUAAGUCAGGAUGAGACUCCGGACUUUACAAAAAAAUAAAAGAGGCCAAAAAAUCCCAAAUAAAAAAAGAGGCCAAAGAAGCCCAAAUAAAAAAAGAGGCCAAAGAAGCCCACCAAAAAAACAAAAAAAAUGAGAGAC
rnacentral:lncRNA from 1 species